AGCUAGACAAAAGGUUGAAAUCAUCAUUAACCAAGCCUUUACUUUUUCUAACGCCGGGAAGAGUUUAUAUUCGUUGAGAAAAUCGGCAAAGACUUUGUUAUCUUUUGGAAGGACUUGUAAAGAAACAAUAUUUUAUAUUUACGUCUGUAAUGUUUUUCAUAUUAACAUUAUUGAUGUUUCUAAAUUUACCUUCUGUAAUGUUAGAACCAGUUGAGAGUCGUCAGAUUCUGAAGAGGAAUCAAAUUUUAGUCAUCAGCAUAGGAUGGAUGUUGCGGAAAGGAUCGAUUCGAGAACUCCGAUAUGACUACAAGUAAAUUGACCGAAACGAAAAAUAAAGUGAACACAAGGAUUUACGUGGUUCGGCUUUAAUGCCUACGUCCACGGGCAGAGGCGAAAAGAAAUUUCACUAUAACAAGAUGAAGAUUACAAGUGUUUUACACUCAAGACACAACCCGAGAACCUCACAACUCUCAACCCCUAUAGAAAACCCGAAAGCUAAAAUCCUAGCUUUCAAAGAACAAGCUUUGCUCUCUCUUGGUUUGGGAUGAUCAAUAUGGCUAAUGAACCUCUCUAUUUAUAAGAGAGUUCAAGGACAUAAUUGUCCAAAACUUUGGCAAAGAUUUGUGGUUGAAAAUGGACACCAACAACCAUCCACUAAUCCACUACCACCAACAACCCACUACCAACAACAACAAUCCACUACCAAUUUUAAGCCAUUUCUUAACAAAUCUCCACCUUGGCUUGAAAUUUACCAAGCUGAACAUCAUAGUGAAUUCCUCGAACUGGAUCACCUCUUCCAAACGCCUCUCUGGCGCUAAUCAAUCCCGAAUACCUAUCAAGUCCAAGCAAUGCUUGAACUUAUAUGCAGGGAUCACCUUAGUUAACAUAUCUGCAGGAUUCUUCUCGGUAGCAACCUUGCUGAUAACAAUGUCACCUUGCGUAACAUGUUCCCGAACAAAAUGAUAUCUGACAUCAAUGUGUUUGGUCCGUUCAUGAAACAUCUGAUUUUUAGUCAGAUGUAUGGCACUCUGGCUAUCGCAAAAUACAACAGUGAAAUCCUGUUGUAAACCCAAACUGCUUACUAGACCUUUCAUCCACAAUGCUUCUUUCACUGCUUCUGCUAACGCCAUAUAUUCCGCCUCAGUCGUAGAUAAGGCUACGGUAGACUGUAACACAGCUUUCCAACUAAUGGCUCCUCCAGAAUAAGUGAAAACAUAACCCGUCAGAGAUCUUCUUUUGUCCAGAUCUCCAGCAUAAUCAGAGUCCACAUAGCCCGUGACACUGCUAGUGCAGUCACUCUGAUCAUAUACCAAGCAUAAAUCUGCAGAACCUCUCAAGUACCUGAGAAUCCAUUUCACGGCCUGCCAGUGUUCCUUGCCAGGACAACUCAUGUAUCUGCUGACCACACUAACUGCAUGUGAAAUGUCUGGACGAGUGCAAACCAUUGCAUACAUCACGCUUCCAACUGCACUCGAGUAUGGAAUGUGAGACAUUUGCUGCUUUUCUUCAUCAGAUUGUGGUGACAACUCUGCAGAGAGUUUGAAAUGUGGUGCCAACGGAGUACUCACAGUUUUCGCUUUAUCCAUGCCGAAGCGUUGAAGAACCUUUUCAAUGUAGUUCUUCUGCGACACACGAAGCUUGCCCGCCUUGCGAUCUCUGUGAAUAUCCAUGCCCAAAAUUUUCUUGGCAGCACCCAGAUCCUUCAUCUCGAACUCACCACUCAACUGCGACUUUAACUUGUUGAUUUCCGACAUGUUUUUGGAAGCAAUUAACAUGUCAUCAACAUACAGCAACAAAUAAAUGUGCGAACCAUCUGAGAGCUUCCGAUGAUAGACACAAGCAUCAUAGUCACAUCUUGUGUAACCAUGCUGAAUCAUGAAGCUAUCAAACCGCUUGUACCACUGCCUUGGGGAUUGUUUCAAUCCAUAUAAAGACUUCUUUAAUAGACAGACAUGGUCUUCUUUACCAGGAACUGUAAAACCCUCUGGUUGGCGCAUGUAGAUUGUUUCCUCGAGCUCACCAUGCAAGAACGCUGUUUUUACGUCAAGCUGCUCAAGUUCUAGAUCAGACUUGGCCACCAUGGCAAGUAAUACACGAAUGGAAGAAUGCUUUACGACUGGGGAGAAAACUUCAUUGUAGUCAAUCCCCUCUUUCUGAGUGAAGCCUUUAGCAACCAAUCGUGCCUUGAAUCUAGUUGCUUCAACCCCUAGGAUGCCUUCCUUUUUCUUGAAGACCCAUUUGCAACCAACUAUCUUCUGGUUACUUGGCGGCUUAACCAACUCCCAAGUAUGGUUCUUGUGAAGAGAUUCUAUCUCCUCACUCAUAGCAAUUGCCCACUGUGCCGACUCAUCACACGUGACAGCCUCAUUAUAACUGGAAGGUUCUAUACCAAUGGACUCCGCCACACUGAGCGCGAAAGACACCAGAUUAGCGUAACGCGGAUUUGGUUUGAUUUGUCUCUUCGUUCUUCCAGUGGCAAUGCUAUAUGGUUUUUCUUGAGGUGACUCAUCUUCAUCGGAAUCUUGCACCUCAACUUGAUCAUCCUGGACUGAAGUACCUUCCGUAGGAAUUGGAGCGUCCACCUGACACUCCACCUGCUUCUCAACACCGUGAUCUCCCAUUCUAUCUGACUCCUCCUUUUCCCGGGAAUUUGUGGUGGAUCGAAGCAUGGAUGACUCAUCAAAAGUCACAUCUCUGCUGAUGAUGAACUUGGACGAAACCGGAUCAGGACACCACAACCUGUAUCCUUUCACCCCUUGGCCGUAUCCAAGAAAUAUGCAUUUCUUCGCCCUCGGUUUGAGUUUUCCCUCAUUUACAUGAGCAUACGCAGGGCAGCCAAACACUCUUAAACCAGAGUAAUCAGCAGGAGAACCAGACCAUACUUCCUCAGGAGUCUUCAGCUCAAUAGCUGUUGACGGAGAUCUGUUAACCAAAUAACAAGCAGUAUUAACAGCUUCAGCCCAAAAUUCUUCACCGAGCCCAGCAUUUGAUCGCAUGCAACGAGCUCGCUCCAAGAGAGUUCUAUUCAUGCGUUCUGCAACUCCAUUUUGUUGUGGUGUUCGACGAACAGUGCGGUGUCUCACUAUUCCUUCAUUUUUGCAGAACUCAUUGAAUUCACCUGAGCAAAACUCCAAGCCAUUAUCCGUCCGGAAUCGCUUGAUCUUCUUUCCUGUUUGAUUUUCGAUCAAAGCUUUAAAUUGCUUGAAGUUGAUGAGAACCUCAUACUUGCUCUUCAGAAAAUACACCCAAACCUUUCUCGAGUAAUCAUCGAUAAAGGUAAGCAGAUAUCUGUAACCACCUUUAGAAAUUGUCGGAGAAGGCCCCCAAAGGUCAGAAUGGAAGUAAUCCACUGUGCCUUUUGUCUUGUGAAUCCCAGUGCUGAACUUUACCCGAGUCUGCUUACCGAAGACGCAGUGCUCACAGAAAUUCAACUUUCCUGUACACUGCCCAGACAAUAAUCCUCGUUUGCUUAGCACCGAUAAGCCUCUCUCGCUCAUAUGCCCGAGCCGCAUAUGCCAUAACUUCGUGGUGUCAGAAUCUAGAUCAUCUGAUGAUGACACUCCCGCAACACCUGUAACCGAGGAACCAUCGAGGAAGUAAAGGCCCCGCUCCAAAUUACCACGUAUCACAGUCAAAGCACCCGAGAAUACCUUGAGAACUCCACCUUCAGCAGAGUACCGAAAGCCUUUCUUGUCCAACGUACUCAAAGAGAUCAAAUUUUUCUUCAUUUCUGGAAUGUGCCGAACAUCAGUUAGAGUUCUAACAAUACCGUCAAACAUCUUUAUACGAACUGUGCCAAUCCCCAUGACUUGACAUGCGUGGUCAUUUCCCAUUAGUACUGAACCAGAAUGCUUCUCGUAUGUUGAGAAUGCAUCUUUCGAAGUACUUAUAUGAAAUGUAGCUCCCGUAUCAAGAAUCCAUCUCCCACCAGCGUAAGAGUCGGAUACUGCAAGAACGAUCUCGGCAUCACUUGAAGAAUCUGCAUCAGCUACAUUCGCACGAUCAUUUUGUUGCUCCUGUGAUUCUGAUUUCUCCUUCCUUUUCGGACAAUCUACCUUCAUGUGCCCGUACUUCUUACAGUAGUAGCACUGUAUUCUCUUCUUGGACUGCGAUCUAGGAUGGCUUUUACUUGAACUUCCACCCUUUGCCUUGGAUCUUCCUCGAGCAACCAAGCCUUCGCCUUCAUUGUUUUCGACCACCUUACCAGUGAUUUUCUUCCUCAACUCACUGGAACUUAAGGCAUUUUUCACCUCCUCUAGAGUCAGGUCAUCACGACCGUACAUCAUUGUAUCAACAAAAUUCUCAUACGAGGGAGGCAAAGAACACAAAACAAUUAUUGCUUGGUCCUCAUCAUCGAUUUUGUUAUCGAUAUUAUUCAAAUCCAUGAUAAUGGAAUUGAAUUUAUCCAGGUGCUGGGAAACAGGUGUACCUUCCUCCAUCUUCAGGGCAUAGAGUCUUUGCUUGAGGUAGAGCCGGUUCGUCAAUGACUUCGUCAUGUACUUGCUCUCUAACCGGAGCCACAAACCGGACGCGGUUUUCUCAUCCGCUACUUCUCGUAGCACUUCAUCUCCUAGACAUAGCAGAAUAGCACUAUGUGCUCUUUCUAGCAUGUCAUCCUUUUGCUCUUCCGAAAGCGUGCUUGGUAAUUUAUCUUUACCAGACAAUGCUUUUAGCAAUCCUUGUUGAACCAGCACUGCCCGCAUCUUGAUGCGCCAUAAACUGAAACUAUUUUUCCCGGUAAAUUUCUCGACAUCAUACUUAGUCGAUGAAACACUUGUAGCCAUAAUUUGGAACCUUUGAAUGAAUGAUAAUAUUUUCUUCCUGAUGUGAAAGAUCAGACAAAGCUGCAGUCACAGGGCAAUUCAGAAAAUAUUAUCACUCCUUCAACUACGCUCUGAUACCAAUUUGUUGCGGAAAGGAUCGAUUCGAGAACUCCGAUAUGACUACAAGUAAAUUGACCGAAACGAAAAAUAAAGUGAACACAAGGAUUUACGUGGUUCGGCUUUAAUGCCUACGUCCACGGGCAGAGGCGAAAAGAAAUUUCACUAUAACAAGAUGAAGAUUACAAGUGUUUUACACUCAAGACACAACCCGAGAACCUCACAACUCUCAACCCCUAUAGAAAACCCGAAAGCUAAAAUCCUAGCUUUCAAAGAACAAGCUUUGCUCUCUCUUGGUUUGGGAUGAUCAAUAUGGCUAAUGAACCUCUCUAUUUAUAAGAGAGUUCAAGGACAUAAUUGUCCAAAACUUUGGCAAAGAUUUGUGGUUGAAAAUGGACACCAACAACCAUCCACUAAUCCACUACCACCAACAACCCACUACCAACAACAACAAUCCACUACCAAUUUUAAGCCAUUUCUUAACAAUGGAAGAUGAGAAGUUGCUGUCGGCGGUGUUGGGAGAGCAAAGGAGAAGGUAAGAAGGCUGCAACUCAAGAGGAUGAAGGGAAAUCAGAAAUUGGUAGAUGACAGAAUUGUGAAUAAGACUCUCAGAUUCUGGGUCCAACUUAUGCAAUAAUUCUAUGAUCUGGGAAGCGUGUAGAGAUCGACAAAUGUGUUUGCGGUGAUUGCUGCCGUCCUCUCCAACAAGGAGCCAGUUGUUUUGCAGACACAAUGGCUAUGGAUGGGAUGGAAAGUCUAUGGUUAAAUCCCCUUAAAUUCACGUCAGUAUAAAAUAACAUGUAAAUUAAUUGCAAAAAAAAAUUUAAAAACUUGUUUAAACAAAGUGUAAUAAUUUGACGGAAUUUUUAAUAUAUUAGCCAAAGAAAUUCAUCUAAGAAAUGAGAUUCAAUUGAAGUUAACAAUGAAGAAUGCUUAAGAAAUGAGAUUCAAUUGAAGUUAAGAAUGAAGAAUGCUUUCAAUGUGCCCAACAUUAGACCAAGACAAAUAAUUGUAAGUUUUGUCAAAAAUCUUAGUUUUCUUUUUUAAUCUUUGAUUAAUGAGCAGAAUUCACAUUCUUUGUUUUUUCUUAUAGCUCAAUAAAUCUUUCUUCGCUCACAAGAAAAACAAAAAGUAAGUGGUACAUAAUAACGAAUAAAUGGCAUUCAAUUUAAACAUUCACAAUGAUUAAUCUUCAAUUGAAAAAUCACUAUCUUUAAUUCAACAUGUCUUUCAUCUUCCACCAUUUUAUAUCACUACCAAUUGGCCAUGCAGUUUCUUGAGCUGUAGCAGGUUCUUCCACUAUAAUUUCAUCAACUGAUUGGCUUGCCUGCAAAGCAAAUUAAACCUUCACUUGUUACUGUUUGCUUUUGAUGAUUGAUGAUGAAGAAAGCAAAGCCAGUUUUCCAAAAUUGGACAAAGGAUGACAUAUUAAGAACAAGAACUGUGAAUUGAAAAUAAUAAUGCAACAAUGAUAUCUAGAAAGAAAUAUUGACAGCCACUUGAUGCAAACCGAUUACAGUUGAUGCAAUUUCAUUUAGUCAUUUAAAGCAUAUAAAAAAAAAAGAAGAAUGAAUUUCUCUCAGGCAGCCAAAAUAAAAAUAUUGCAUUAAUGCAUAGAAAUUAAAGCUUAGUAUUGGGAGAAUACAUAGAGAAAAUAAUUGAAUGGAUGAAUUUCUGUUUUAAAGCUUAUUGUUGAGUUUGGAAGAGUAGUGUACCUGUGUUUUGGCAUGCACUGAUUCCUCUGAAUCAACACUAAAUCUUGUGGUUAUGUUGGGACAACCUUUUACUUUUAAAUCCGUCGAAGAUGGGAAAACAAAAUGAUAACCCACAGGGCCGAAGCUUACGAGGUUUGGUAGGUAUAAUAUUAUGUAUUGUGCAAUUUUAGCCUUGAAAAGCAAACGCACAGCAUGCAUCCUUUGGAGGGGCAAUGAGUUUAUCUUGGUGAGAUUAAAAUCAAUAGUGAGAUAUUUAUUUAAAUAUAAAUGUUGUGGUGAGAAGAGAUUAAAAUAAAAAAUAAUCAUUAUAGAUAUUAAUUUAUAAUGUAUUUAUAAUACAAUAAAUAAUUAAAGUUAUAUUUAUUUUUGACCAAUCAAAACACUCAUUCUUUUGCCUUCUCCUUCUUUAAAACAGCUCUAGUGAAAAAUCACAAUUUUAGUGCAAUAGAAUGCCUCAACUGAAUCAAAUCACAGACGAGAAAUCUAACCUCAUCGGAGCUAAAUGGGAUCUAAAGGGAUCCUUAAUUAAAAGCAUAUUGCAGUCAAACCACGAGGUGUGGCAUGUUGAUUACACACCUCGUCCCUUAAUCAUGUGGUUGAGGAGUUUAAUCUCCACUCAUGGAAAAAGAACACAUUUCAUGGUUAACCGUUUCAUCUUUUCGGAGAACACCCGCUGCAGGGGGAUUAAUCACUUUUAUUGAUGUUGGAAUACCUCGGUUUAAAAAAAAAAACAUAAUGAUUUAUUUAACUUGCAUUAUUUGUCAAAUUAUCCCAAAAUGAAUGGAAAAAUUAACUUUUGUUAAAUUUACUGACGUGGCAUCAUGUGUAUGUUAUGUUAGCAAUUUAAUUUUUAAAAAUUAAAAAAUAUUUUUAUAAUUUUUUAUAUAAUUAUUAAUACUUUUAGUAGCUUUUUAUUUUAAAAAUAAAAUUUAUAAUUUUUAUUAAUUUUUAAAAAUUUUAAAAAUUAUUUAUUUAUUUAUGUGGCAUACACGUAGCAAUCAUCAUUUUAAAAUUUUUAAAUAUUUAAUAAUAUUUUAAAUGAUGGUUUUUUAAAGGAAAUGAUAGUUUUCAAAAUUGUCAUUUUAAUUUAUAAUUUAUAAAUAUAUUUUUAAAAUAUAACCAUGAAUAUGUUCUUAAAGUAAUGCAUCUUGAAAAGUGGACAAAAAUAGGAGUUUUGAUUAAUUUCCUUAUUUUUGCAUGAAUAAAAAGUCCUACGGUAUAUUUAUGAAAAAAGAGUGAGUGGUUGAGAUUAUAUCUAAUUAUGGGUUAGUUCGAUAUAAAAUUUUAGAUUUAUUUUUUUAUUCAGUUUUAAAAUUCUUUUUAAGUCCCUCUCAGACUAAAAAUAUUUAACUCGAGUCCAAUCCACCAGUAUUAAUUUUUUUAGAUUAAUUUUUAUAUAAAAAGUUUUAAAAAUAUAGUACAUCAAAUCCAUUAAAAACAUUAAAAUAAAUAUUUCCUAACAAAUUAAAAAUACAUUUAAAAAAGGCUUUAUACUUAAAUAACGAAAUGUUAUCUGUAAAUUAAUUUUUCAUACCAAAUAUUUCAACUAAUUUAAAUUCUUAAAAAAUUAUUGAUUGAUUCUUCGUUCAAUUGACAUGGGUAUUGUUAUGAGGACAUGGUUUCAAGUGUGUUGAAGCGCAUUAUCCUCCUGUUUAUAAAUUGGAAAAAGGCUAUAAAUAAUUUUAGACAUUACGUAAAAAAAAAAGAACAAAUAUAAAUUAAAAUUGUUAAAAGAAGUUCUUAAAAAAUUGAAACUUUCCACCAUAUCAAUCCACUCCAAAACUUGUAUCUUAACAUCUAUAGUCUGAUCUCUUAUUAUAAAAUUACAGCCUCGUUCUUAUCAAAAAUAAAAUCUUCAAAAAGAAUGUACCUGUGGAAGAAAAAAUUAAAAUGUUUAAAACAUUGUUGUACUGCAAUUGGUGGGUCAAACUGAGGCUCUGCGGCUGUUCAUACCAUGCCAAACUUCAUAUUUCCACCACUUAUUUUAAAAAGAAGGUUUAAUUUUGUCUUCAGUCCCUCUACUCUUCAAACUCUUAAAAUUUAGUACAUUUACUUUUAUUUUUAGAAAUUCAUUUUUUUCACUUGUUUAAUUUGAAAUUUUAAAUUGAAUUGAUAAAUUUUUAUUAAAUUUAAAUAUGUUUCAUUUGAAUAUUUAAAAGUGGAAAUUCAAUUGAUGACACAUAUUUAAAUUUAAUAAUAUAUAGUUAACAUCGUUAUCAAUUAAUUUUUAACUUUUAAAUCAAAUAAAUUUCUAAAAUAAAGUCGCGAAAAUGAGGAAAAAGAUUUGAAACCACAAUAUAUAUAUAUAUAAACCUAUAUAUUAAGGUGGAAUCUGGGAUGUAUUAGAUUGAAGUGGAAGUACACACAAAUUGCAUGUGCAAAAGCAUGGUCGGUUUAUAGUGUUCUAAGUAACCGACACUAGUGGUAGUCGUCGGCGAUCUCUCUCAACAUGCAUUGAAUUUAACAAAAGCUACGUGUAUGCCACAUAAAUAAAUAAAUAAUUUUUAAAAUUUUUAAAAAUUAAUAAAAAUUAUAAAUUUUAUUUUUAAAAUAAAAAGCUACUAAAAGUAUUAAUAAUUAUAUAAAAAAUUAUAAAAAUAUUUUUUAAUUUUUAAAAAUUAAAUUGCUAACAUAACAUACACAUGAUGCCACGUCAGUAAAUUUAACAAAAGUUAAUUUUUCCAUUCAUUUUGGGAUAAUUUGACAAAUAAUGCAAGUUAAAUAAAUCAUUAUGUUUUUUUUUUUAAACCGAGGUAUUCCAACAUCAAUAAAAGUGAUUAAUCCCCCUGCAGCGGGUGUUCUCCGAAAAGAUGAAACGGUUAACCAUGAAAUGUGUUCUUUUUCCAUGAGUGGAGAUUAAACUCCUCAACCACAUGAUUAAGGGACGAGGUGUGUAAUCAACAUGCCACACCUCGUGGUUUGACUGCAAUAUGCUUUUAAUUAAGGAUCCCUUUAGAUCCCAUUUAGCUCCGAUGAGGUUAGAUUUCUCGUCUGUGAUUUGAUUCAGUUGAGGCAUUCUAUUGCACUAAAAUUGUGAUUUUUCACUAGAGCUGUUUUAAAGAAGGAGAAGGCAAAAGAAUGAGUGUUUUGAUUGGUCAAAAAUAAAUAUAACUUUAAUUAUUUAUUGUAUUAUAAAUACAUUAUAAAUUAAUAUCUAUAAUGAUUAUUUUUUAUUUUAAUCUCUUCUCACCACAACAUUUAUAUUUAAAUAAAUAUCUCACUAUUGAUUUUAAUCUCACCAAGAUAAACUCAUUGCCCCUCCAAAGGAUGCAUGCUGUGCGUUUGCUUUUCAAGAUAAAUAUCAUUCUUCAUAUCAAAGCCUAUGUAUUGUGCAAUUUGAUCUUGAAUUCUUUCAAAAUUAGGCUUUUGAGACACAGUCGUAAUCACAACUUUGUCAAACAAAUUCAGUUUUGUAGCUUGACUUCCUACUUCACGAGCCAGGGUGGUCUUGCCCACCCCUCCCAUCCCCCACAACCCAAUCAUGUUGAUAUUCUCAUCUUUUAAGGCUUCAAUGAUUUGAUUGAAAGCAACCUUCGAAGAUUCCGAAACCACAAAUUCCUUAGAACAUAGGAAGUCUAUAGUGGGAAGGGCAGUAGGAUCACGGUAACCGACUGGUCCAAGUCGACCAAAUUUUUCCAAAAGCUCAGACAUAUCCUGAGUUUUCUUCAUUGCUUUCUUACUUAAUUGAUAUCUCCAAAUCCAAUUAGGACACCAAUUGAGACACCUCUUAUUCAAUUGAAUUUCUCCUUCCAGAGUUCCCAUAUCCGAUACUGUUUCGCCUGCCUUUGAUUGCAGGUUCUGUACAUCCUUUUGAAUUAGUAGAAGCUGCCUUUCAGCAUCCUCAAUCUCAUGUUGUAGACGAUCUCGUGCACCUUCAAGAUCACACUUUUUCUCUCGGAGCUUUUCAACAUUGCCAUGAAAGCGACGGACAUAAUCAAGUUGACGUCCUACCGGCUUCACCACACAGUCCACAAUUAGUGUUCCAACGGAGUUCGAAACAGCAGCCUCACAAAAUCCGCAACCCAUGCUUGACAAGCUCAAACUGAAGAAGGAUUCAAAGUCUGAGAAUCAAUGGGCUCUUUUUCCAACUUAGUCCAGCUGAAAACAUAAUACAAAAUGCGAAUAUCAUUAGAAACUUAAUAAAAAAACAUGACUUGAAAACUAGAGAAAAACAAAUUUAUACAUUAGAAAUUUAAAUACAAGUAUCGUAUAGAAUUGGGUAGAAAAGUAUAAGGAAAGCAAGAGUUAGACGAGAAGUUUCUAUUUCAUUUUAUCAAUUCAUAUUAGUUGAUAAAAUUAUAAAUUGGAAGGAUAUAUUUCAUUACACAGAUAAAUAUAAUUCUAAAGAUUAAAAUUAAUUUAUUUAAAUUUAAAAAAAUUAAAACUAAAAACUAUCCAAUAGUAAUUGUCGAGUUUUUAUCUCUACUAAAUUUGGUUAAUGGAGUUGACAGUGACACUAUGACUCUCUGUCAUAUAUAUAGAUUAUAUAUAUGUAAUGUGUUUGACUAAGUUGGUGUCACGAGUCAGUUAGGCAUUAACUCGAUCGUAAAAUAAUUAAAAUAUCCUUACUCUAAAAAGUAAUUAAUAUUAUUUUAAUAUUAAUAUAAGGGUAUUUUCAAAUUUUUAUACUUUUAUUUAAUAUUCAAAUAAAACAACUCAAAAAUAGUAUUUAAGAAUCAAACACAAAACCAACAAAUUCUACGAAAAAUUCUUGCCACUUCCAUAGUAUAAUGUGUUGAAAUAUUUUUAUAAAUAUUUUUAAUAUAAAAUAUUUCCGUUUGUGAUAAAAUCUAACAGAUAUAGAUAAUAUAGAAUUGGUUUUUCUAUUUUAUUUAAUAAAAUGAACUUUAUAGCUUUUAUUUCAUUUUGUUUGUUUUAUUUUUGUCAAAUCAUUUAAGUUAACAAAAUUAUGGGCGAGAAAAACUAGAUUCAAUUUGAAAAAUUAAAAAAAAAUUUAAAUUAAUUGAAUCGAUUUGAAUUUUACCAUUCAAAUAAUAAAUUGGUAUAAAUACCUCUUUAAUCCCUAUCAAUUUUUAAAAUGAACAAAUUGAUUUCUUUCAACAAACAAAAAGAAUUAAAAUAAUUUUCAAAAAUUUAAAAUAUUUAUAAAAAUUCUAAUUUUUUUAAUAAUUUAAAAAAAAUUCUAAAAUAAUAAUUUUGGACCUAAAUAAGUUAAUAAUGAUUGAAGUUUAUUUAUUUUGCUUUAAAAAAUUUUAAAAUAUAAUUAGUUAUACGGUAACAAUAUUUUAAUUUGACAUGUUUAAUUUUUUAAUUUAACUCUAAUAAUUUUAUUCGAUUUGAAUUUUAUUCUACUUAAUUCAAUUCGAAGAAAUUUCAAAUCGAAUUAGAAUAAUAAAAUAGGAGUCCUCAACUCAAUUAAUUUAAAAUUUUUUGAUUUGAUCAAUAUUCAUCCCUAAAUAAAAUCAUAUACAUGUGUGUAAUGUGAUAUAAUUAUAAAUAAAAAAAGACAGAUAAUUAGUUAUAACAAUGAUGGAAACAUAUCCACUUACCACUUCAAUAAGAAGUUGUAACUCCAAGAAUUUGAUCGUCAAAAUAAAAAAUCCAAACACUCUUUUACCUCUGAUUUGCUUCAAGAAGAACAUAAAAAGAUGAGAUGAGAUAAGAUCAAAUAUAUAACAAAUAUAUAAACACAAAUAUAAAGAGAUUUACCUCACUUGGGAACUUCAAAAUCAAACUACACUUUGUGUUGAGAAGAUUCUUACUACUUCAGUACAAUCCAAAGGGAUUCGAAGGUUGGGUUUUUUUUUUUUUUUUUGAGCAAAAGAACUUGAAGAUAUUUUUUAUCUUUAAGGAAAGGGAAAUAAAAAAAAAACAAGAACAAAAUAGAAAUAGAAAUCCAGGUUGAGCUAAAAUAAGGAGAAACCUUCACAAAGAAAUUGAAGUUGAUCUGCCUGGAAAUUUCAACAAACUGGGUUUUCUUGAUUUAGUAGCCAAAUGAUUUGUGCUAUGAGAUUUUUGCAAUAUUGGGAUCUAAAUUAAUGACUGAUUGGUUUGCAAAAAAAACCAACAAGGCAUGUCAGUCGACUUAAAAAAAGGUGUGUCUUUGGGUUAUCUUUUUACUCGGCUUUCCACUUUUUCACUUUGCCCUAAGGCAGACUUAAUAAUUAGCACCAUCUGAAAAGAGUUAAUUCCAUCAAGCAUCCCUCAACUAUUACCUCCAUUUUGAAUUCGUCCCUAAACUUCAAAUUAUUCUAAUUACAUCCUCAUUUUAUCAAUACUAUAUCAAUCGGGUCCUUUUGUUAUUACAAUAGUUAAAUGAUACAUCAAAUCUUAUGCAGAUAAAUUUAAAAUGAAAAUUUUAAAGAAAUAGAAUCAUGCUGCGUAACUUUCAAAAUUAAAAACAAAGUAUAAUAAUAUAAGAGUAGUUGGAAUUGAUGUAGUAAGAAGGAAAUGACAUUCAAUUGAAUGCUUAUUCCAGAAUAUGUUGCUACCACUUUUGUACUGCUUUUAAUAAAGUUGAUAUUUAUUUCUAGACAAAGCAUAUAUUAUUCAUGUGCUGAAGGGUAAGACAUAUGCUGAAUAAAUUUCAGAUUAAUUACCUGAAUUCACAUAUGCUUCACUUUGUUCUUUUCUUACAUGAGCUCAAUAAAUUUGUCUUCUCUCACAAGAAAAAGAAAAAGUAGGUGGUAUGUUUUCCUAUUCAAAAAUAUGUUUAAAUAUGUUUCAACCAAUGUAUAUCCCUACCAAUGGGCCAUGUAGUUUCUUGGGCUGUAGCAGAUUCCUCCACUAUAAUUUCAUCAACUAAUUGGCAUGCCUGCAAAACGAAUUAAACCUUGAUUUAUUACUGUUUGCUUCUGAUGAUUGACGAUGAAGAAAGCAAAGAAACUUUCCCAAAACUGAAAAUAUUGUCAGCCAACAGAAAUCAAUUUUGUUUUAAAGCUUAUUAUUGAGUUUGGAAGAGUAGUGUACCUGUGUUUUGGCAUGCACUGAUUUAUCUGAAUCAAAACUAAAUCUUGUGGUUAUGUUGGGACAAUCUACUACUCGCAAAAUCAACAAUGAUUGGAAAACAAAAUGAUAACCCACAGGGCCGAAGCUUGCGAGGUUUGGUAGCCCAUCAAGCUGUAAGUCGGUUAAUCGAGGUAGGUGUAUCACUUUCUCUUCCUCCUCACUCACAUUUGGCUCAUCUCCUUCAAACACCUGUUCUAAUUUGGAAACCCUUCCAAGGAUUAUAAUUUCUAGUUUUUGAAGGCCGCCAUGAGCAAGAGUAAUUGGGAAGAGACAUUUCAAAUUUUCACAGUUCCUGAUUGUAAUCCAAAUCAGAUUAGGAAAGCAAACAGCUUGGAGAUGAUGUUGUGAUGAAGUUUGAUCCUUCUCGAUUAUUUGCUCCAAUUCCUCACAGUCAGAUAUAUCCAACCUCCACAAUUGUGGCAAAUUUCGAGCCAUGGUAAGUGGGAAGAUGUAUCUUAACCUUUUGCAAUCUUUGACAUCCAAUUCAGUGAGAUUUUGAUAGUUUCCAACUUGGAUGGGACCACUCCAUAUCACUCGCAAUUCAGUUAGUCUAGACAAGUUUAAGAUCUUCAGACUUGAAAGCUUAUAUCCAAAAUAUUCAAAUAACUCUUCAAAAUUGGAAAUUGUUAAAUAUUCGGUACAUGUUGAUGUUCCUCCUCUCCUUUCAGGGACUGCCACGUUGCUUAUUUGCUUCUUUUCUGUCAUCUCCGAGAAGGACAAUUCCUAUAAACAUAUCAUCAGUUUUUAUAGUCAAAGAAUUCAAAUUUUUAAAAAGUUUACUGUUCAACUCAAAUAAUCAUAAAUUACAAAAAAAAAAUCAACAAAAAUAUGGUGCAAAAACACAACAUAAAUAAUAUUACGUAGUACUAGAUAGUGUUUGCAAUAUAUAUAUAUUUCUCAUAUAGAUUAUAAAAGUAUUGUAAUUAACUAAACUACUUAUAGCUUUAUUUAGAUUAGUUUUUAGACCAAAAUUCUACAAUGAAAACUAUUUCUUAAAGAGUUUUACAAGCAUUUAUUUUAUACAAAAAAAAAUCAAAAGGUGAAAAUUUUAAUAAAUAAUAUAUAUAAGAAGAUCUUACUUGUAUAUUAGUUGGAACGAUAAAAGGUGUCAAUUGAGGACAAUCUCUCACAAAUAACAGGUGUAAAGAUGGCGAUGUCAGCACGAUGUUGUUUCUAUCUCUUCCUUUCAAAUGAGGUAAAUUAAUCAACUGAACUUUAUUCAACUGUGCAAGACCUUGAGACAUUGAGAUUAACACUUCUACUACUUGGAUUAUUUCUUGUAAUUGGGAACAACUCUCUAUCCUCGGAGUUUGCAAUUGCCCAAGACUAUUAGCAACACACAUUGGAAAGAGAAAUUUCAACUUAUUGCAUUUUGUGACUUGUACUUCCCUUAGGCAUUGGAAGCUUAUGGUUGAUACUUGUGAGUAUUGGAUUAUUUCUUCCAUUCUAAAGCACCUCUCUAUCUUCAGAGUUUGCAAUUGCCCAAGAUUAUUAGCAACACCCAUUGGGAAGAGAAAUUUCAACUUAUUGCAUUUUGUGACUUGUACUUCCCUUAGGCAUUGGAAGCUUAUGGUUGAUACUUGUGAGGCUUGGAUUAUUUCUUCCAUUCUAAAGCACCUCUCUAUCUUCAGAGUUUGCAAUUGCCCAAGACUAUUAGCAACACACAUUGGGAAGAGAAAUUUCAACUUAUUGCAUUUUGUGACCUGUACUUCCCUUAGGCAUUGGAAGCUUAUGGUUGAUACUUGUGAGUCUUGGAUUAUUUCUUCCAUUCCAAAGCACCUCUCUAUCCUCAAAGUUUGCAAAUUGGGCGCAUUUAGUGUUUUAGAGCUACCUUGAGCAACAAUAAUUGGAAAGAGAGAUUUCAAGCUUUCACAUUCCAAGAUAUCAAUUCGAAUCAGAUUUGGAAAGCAAAGAGGUAGGGGAUGAUGUUGUGAUGACGUUUGAUCUUGCUCCAAUUCCUCAUAUUUACAUGAAUGCAAAUUGCUCAAUUGUUCAUUUGUCAUCUUCCCAAACACCAAUUCCUAUAAACAUAUCAUCAAUUUUCAAUUUCAAAACGUUCAAAGUUGUCAACAACCAACUUAACAUUUCACCAAUUAAUUUCCUUACAAAAAAAUUAUUUUACCUUAAAUCAAGGUUAUACUCCAAAAAUGUGGUACAAAAACAGUCAUAAAUAAUAUCACAUAAUUUGUACAUAUAAAUUAUUGGACAGGUGUAACAACGCAAUUGGGAAUUACUUAAACUCAUUUUCAUAUAUUAAUACAAAAAUAAAAAAAAACCACCUGUGUAAAAGGCUAUAUUUAAAAAAAAUUAAAUAUAUUUUUUUCUACUUUAUUUUUUAAUACAAAUUCUAAAAUCAUCCAUAAUUCCUUCCCACAUUUAAAUAGAAAGAUACACGUGCCUAAAUGCCCUCGAACCCACAACCUCCUAUUCAUACAACAAUAUCGGUACCAACCAAACUAAAAUUUAUAUAUAAUUUUAUAUAGCUUAUUUUUGUUUACCCACAAAAUAGUAUAAUAUAAUUUAGUAUUAGAUAAAUAGUUUGCAACAUAUCUAAAACAUAAAGUUUGGAUAAUAUUUUUUUUUGAAAAUUUUAUUAAUCUUAUUAUAUGGUAUUAUAAUCAACUAAUUUGUUUAAAAGGUUAUUUAGAUUAGUUUUAGACCAAAAUCAUAAAAUAAAAUCUAUCUUUUAACAACUAUUCAAACAACGAAUUAUUAAAGAAAAAAAGAAACAAAUAAAUAAAUAAUAUAAAACAAAAAUAAAAAUCUUACUUGUAUCGUAGUCGAAAUAAAAAAUGUGUCAAUUGAGGACAAUUGUGCACUUUUAACUUCUGCAAAGACGAUUGUGUGGGCAAAAUGUCGUUCACAUCCCAUCCUUUCAAUUGAGGCAAAUCAAUCAACGAAACCUAAAAUGAAAAGCAUAAUCAAAUUUCCCAAUAUUUGACCAUAGGACAAUAAGGAAAAAAAUGUCAAGUUAUUGCAGUGAGAUACACAUACUUUCCUUGGACUUUGGAGUAGACAUUUGUGUUCCACUUGUCGGUCUUCGAUUAUAUCUUCCAAUUGCGAGCAACUCUUUAUCUUCAAAGUAUGCAAUUGCCCAAGGCUAUUAGCUACUGACCUUGGGAAGAUAUAUUUCAAAUUAUUGCAUCUCUCUAUUUCAACAAUCUUCAGACUUUGGAGGCUUAAAUGACGGAUGGGCCCUUCUUAUUCUAUGCUCCUCAAUUCAGCAAUCGGGAAUAACACUUGCAUCUCACCAUAAUCUGAAACUAUAACCUCUUCAAGCUUUUGUAAAAAACCUUGCGGCUGGGGAGCAUUGCACAUCUCUUCCAAAUCAAACAUAUCACUUAAUGAUAACUUUCUCAAAUUAGAGAGUGCAGUGAUUGGCACUUGCUGCUUUGAUGCAUCAAUUAAGCAUUGCAUAGACUGGCACUGUCGAAGAUCUAGAGAAGUUAACUUUCUAAAUCCCAAGUCUAAGCUCGGAAUAAGGUUUGAAAUUGAACAUUCAGGACUUGUUGGAAGGAGAUGAAAAGUGAGGAUCAGACAAGAUUUUUGUUUGGGAUUUCCCUUUUAUGAGGAUCAGACAACUAGCUAUCUUCCUUUUGAGUUGAUUGUUUCUGAUCUGUGGGGACCUGGAUCCGUUGCGUGUGAUAAUAAGUGGUAUUACAUUUCUUUUAUUGAUAUGGGUACGAGGUUUACUUGGAUUUAUCUUUUACGACAGAAGUCUCAGGCUAUAGAAUGUUUUGUUCAGUUUCAACAGCUAGUCAAGACACAGUUUGACAAGACUAUUAAACAAUUUCAGAGUGAUUGGGGUGGCGAAUAUCAUAGUUUUACGUCUCUCUUAGCAUCUCAAAGAAUUGUUCAUCGGCUGACUUUCCCUUAUACCUCUGAACAAAAUGGUGUAGCUGAGCGUAAACAUCGUCACAUUGUUGAAACGAGACUUACGCUGUUGGCUCAAGCAAGUAUGCCUAUGGAAUACUGGGGAUAUGCGUUUUGUUCUGCAGUGCAUCUUAUAAAUCGACUUCCUACUACUGUUCUCUAGGGACGUUCUCCAUUCAAAGCUUUGUAUGGCACUACUCCUACGUAUGAUCAUCUUUGUGUGUUUGGUUGUUGUUGUUACCCAUACUUACGACUGUUUUUAGAUCAUAAGUUGGAAUUUCAGUCCCAACCGUCUACAUUUUUGGGAUAUAGUUCUAGUUACAAAGGGUAUCGGUACUUGUUUUCAGAUGGUAAGGUUAUUGUGUCACGUCAUGUAACGUUUGAUGAACACAGGUGUUCUCUGAAACUUGUUCUGGAAGAUGAGUGCCGCAACUGAGUUUGACUAGUAUGACGGUGUGUCCUAUUGUAUGGCCUAUGUCUCAUCAUUCUUCUUCAUUAUCACCGGUACAACAAAGUUCUUCAUUAUCACCGGUUCAACAAAGUUCUUCACCAGAUGGUGGAGUGAUGCAGUUUCAAACUAUUGCACGUCAAUUUUCUUCGAAUGGUGUCGUCGGUUCUUCACCUACUUUGGAACUUCAUAAUAGAAAUGCUCAGAUCAGAUUGUUGCAAGUACGUCUGAUGGUCAAGAUAGUAGGUUACCUGUGGUUAAUGCUCAUCCGAUGGUUACGAGGGCUAAGGCAGGAGUUUUCAAACCAAGAGUGUUAAAUGUUGAAAAUGUAGAACCUUCUACCAUUGAAGAAGCACUGGCUAUUGUUGAAUGGAGCAAUGCUGCCCAAGAAGAAUACAAUGCCCUUAUUCAGAAUUCUACGUGGGAGCUAGUUCCUGCUCCGACAUAUCAUAAAGUUAUCGGCUGCAAAUGGUUGUUUAAGAUCAAAGAAAUCCUGAUGGUUCAAUCGCCCAACGAAAGGCUAGGUUAGUUGCUAAAGGUUGUUCUCAAGUUUCGGGGUGUGAUUUUAAGGAAACCUUUAGUCCUGUUGUGAAACCAGCUACAAUCAGAGUUAUUUUGUCCAUUUUUGUUUCCAGGGGUUGGUCGCUUCGACAAGUAGAUGUUAAUAAUGCUUUUCUCAAUGGGAAUCUUGAUACUGAGGUUUUCAUGCAUCAACCUCUUGGUUAUGUUCAGUAUGAUUCAGACGACAAACCUCUCGUGUGUCGCUUGAAGAAAGCAUUAUAUGGUCUUCAUCAGGCUCCUCGCGCGUGGUUUGACAAGCUCAAGAGCUUUCUUAUAUCUAAAGGGUUUAUUGCCUCAAAGUCUGAUGCAUCCUUAUUCGUUAGGAUCACAUCAGACUCCACAUUAUAUGUUAUGGUCUAUGUUGAUGAUAUUACUGUUACUGGGAGUCCAUCUCCUAUAAUUGAAUGGUUUGUUCGAUUACUGAAUGAUGAGUUCUUGCUUAAGGACAUGGGUGAUCUUCAUUACUUCCUUGGGCUAGAGGUUACUCGUUCUUUAUCUGGAUGUCUUCAUUUGUGUCAGAGGAAGUACAUCUAAGAUAUACUUAUUCAGUGUUCGCUUGAAAAUGCUAAGAGUGUUCACACACCAAUGAUCAGUUCUUCUGUCAUGUCUAAAGAUGAUGGUGAUCGUUUAGAGGAUCCAACUUUGUAUCGGAGUCUUACUGGUAUGUUGCAGUAUGUUACUCUCACGAGGCCUGAUGUGACAUAUGCUGUUAAUCGAAUAUGUCAGUUCAUGCAUAGUCCUACCACCGUUCAUAUGACUGCUUUAAAACGUAUUUUGCAUUAUUUAGCUGGCACAAUUGAUUUUGGAAUUAUUUUUCGACCGGCUGCUAAUCUAUCUUUAGUAGGAUAUGCAGACGCCAAUUGGAGGUUGGAUUUUGAUGAUCGAAGGUCGACCUCCGGCUUUUGUGUCUAUUUUGGACACACUCCUGUGUCUUGGUGCACGAAGAAACAACAAGUAGUGGCUCGAUCUACUGCUGAGGCAAAAUAUAAGAGUCUUGCCGCAGUAACAAGUGAAGUUACCUGGUUGUUGUCAUUACUUCGAGAGUUACAAGUUUGUUCUGUAGAUACACCUAGCAUUUGGUAUGAUAGCUCUGGAGCUGUUGCGGUUGCCACUAAUCCUGUAUUACAUUUGAAAUUCAAGCAUGUUGAAUUAGAUUUAUUUUUUGUUCGUGAGAAGGUUGCUGAGGGAUCAGUUGUGGUUGGAGAGGUGCCCGCGUGUGAUCAAGUCGCUGAUGUCCUCACUAAGCCACUAUAAGUUUCAAGUUUUACUUGUUUUUGGAGUUGUCUGCGGGUCUUGUCAGUGGAGAGGAUGGAUGCAUGUUAGAAGUAUUAAACAGUAGUCAAUAUUAGAAUAGUCAAGAGCUGUAGAUAAAUUGUUAGUUAGUGAGCGGGUAUUGUACUGUUGCUAGGACUCUAUAAAUACAGUAAUCUCUAUAAUAUUGUAAAAUGGAUCUGAAAAUAUAAAUAAAUUAGUUUUUUCUUUACCUAUUUCUUCAAAUGGAAAGCCACGUUAUAUUCAAUAGAUGGUUAUUGUGAAGGUAUUAUUUACUUCGAAACCAAGACUGUUCAAACAUGGAUGAAGAGUGAAGAGAUCAAUCUAUUUUUUGUUUUCCUUGAUGAAAAUUUAUGGGUUUUUUUUUUCAAAAAAUUUAUCUAGUAAAAAUAACUUUCCAUCCUCAAUUUGCAGCUAUGUCAUUAGCAACAAUUAUAUUAAUAUGUUAUUGAUUAUUCUUGUUCUUUGAAGGUGGAAUUAUAUGUUCCAAACCUUGAAAUUCCUGGCAUUGUACUUGAUUUAUGAUCGGCUAUCACUUCUGUAUUUUGCAAAGAAAACUGACGCGAAACAGAGUUUUAAAGCUUUUACGAGCUUUGGUUUCCAUUGCUGAAGCCGUCUCUGAUUGUCCUAAAACAAUAAGAGUUGUUUCUAAUGAUCUGAAUGGUUUUCUCCAAUCAGAAUUAGACCAAAUUCCUAAUAGUUUGAAACAAGUUUCGAAAAUCACCAGGUCCAAUGUGUUUCACUGUCCAUAGCAAUGUAAAGAACUGCAACUUGAAGGAGAUUUGAAGUCAAAUUCGACCCCGAGCUGGCUGAAUUGGGUGUGUGGUAACGAGUUUGGGGAGCUGAUUGGUGAUUGUAUUCAAGUGUCUCUAGUAAAAUUUUUAAAGAAGAAUCAAUUUGUUGAAUUCUGAAUCUAAGGGUUUUAACUUUGGAUUUGAACUAAAAAAUCUUAUUAAACUCCAUAAGUCUCACUGUUGUUAAUCUCAAUUAUAAAAGUGAGUACUUUUGGAUUGGGUUGUACUUAGCAGAGAACUUGUGUUCCUUAUACUUCAAUUCCUUGAUCAGGAGAAAUUUAAAGACACCGUUCAUAAUUAUCUCCGCACUCUUUGUUUUUGUUCUUUUCUUUUAUUCUAUCUUUUUAUAAUUUAAAUCUUUUAAUCUGUUCAUGCAUUUUUUUGUGUAUUUAUUGAUUAAUAUAUUUAAAUUUAAUAGAUUGGAGUAAGAGUCAGGUUCUAAAUAUCUCACCUCGAGGAGGACUACAAGCAGCUCAAUUUCAUUCUGGUAUUCAUUCUCCCACAAAGCAUCUUUAACUAUUCAAAUUUUCAUAUACAGAUUAAUUCUCAUUGUAGACCCUGUACAAGGCAUAGUUUUGUGUUGAGGUUAAAUUUAAACUAGGGUCAUGGUUGAUUAGAUUUAUGGGUGUCUGAGUUGAUUUAAUGUAACUAGUCAAGGCAUAGUUUUUGUGUUGAGGAGUUGGUAUUGAGAAAUGAUGAACACUAGUGCUGGUCUUCUUAGCAAAUUUGUUUAAGAUCUGAUCGCCUUCCUUAUUAAGUAUUGUUUUUCUUUGGCGAGGGUCGCUUGGCAUGGUCUUUGUAUAAUAUCGUACCUAUCUCAUUGUGAUAUUAUUAUUUUAGAUUAAAUGUAUUCAUUUAAAUAUAUAAGUAACACGUUUCUUUUUUUUAAGAUAUAAAUAAAAAAAAUAAAUAGUAAUAAACAAAUUAUAAAUAAAUAAAAGAAACUCGUAAACAAUAAUAGUGUUAAUUAUAUAAUUAAACAAUAGUUGAUUUUAAAUGAUUUACUAAACCAAUUUUGAACUAGCAUGAAGAUAAUUAGUUUGGAUAUGUUUCAUUUAUAUUAGGUUAAUUUAAUAAAUAAAAGCAUUUAUGACCAUAAAAGCAUUUAUAUUGGUUAAUUCACUAUUAAUAACCAUUUUACCAAAUUAACCUUAAUGAAAUAAAAGCACAAUUCACAUAUUUUAAGGUCAUUUAUGACCAGCACCACUAUCAUUGGUCCAAUAACAUAAUAAGGACCUCUCAUUCAACUUAUCAGCAAAUAAAUACUCUUAACUUAUAGCCUGCUACUUUUACAUUUUACGCGAUUAAGUCCUUUUUAUCAAAUUAAGUAUUUAAACGGUAAAAUUUCUUAAUGAAAUUUUUAUACUAUAAUUCCAUCAUGCUGUAAAACUUAUUAAAAUAAUAUAAUAAAUAUUUUUACUCGGUUAAGUGGUCCCGAAACCACUGUUCCGAUCAGACUCAAAAACGGGUUAUUACACUUAAUCUUUUGUAAUCUUUUUGUUGUUGUUGAACAUUUGAAAGCUAGUAUUUAUAGUCCCAAAUUGAUUUCCAACCAUUGUGGUUGUUGUGGAAUUGAAUAGAAUCAGUGGGUUGUAAAAACCAAUGCAUUAAUGUCACCUACAACAACAAGUAUUGAUACCUUUGGAGGGGUAUCGAUACUUUGGGCAUUUAAUGUCUCAAUUUAGUGAUCAUUAAAGCCUAUAGUAUCGAUACAAUAGGGUAUGUAUUGAUACUUGGACAAUUUAUUGUUUAAUUUUCAAAACAUUGAACCUUAAAACAGUAUCAUUACCAGGAGAAAGUAUCAAUAUAUUUGGUAAGGUAUCGAUACUUUGUAUUUGUCCUCAAUUUUUUUUAGAAACAGAAGCUCAAUUCGGUAUCGAUACUAUGAAAGAGUUUCGAUACUUUGGUAAAGGUAUCGAUACUCUUUUAUUCGUGCUCCUUUUUUUGAAUUUCGAAACUCAAUUCGGUAUCAAUACUAGAAAGGGGUAUCGAUACUUGAGGCUAAGGUAUCAAUACCUUAUUUAGGGUAUCAAUACUUUGAUCCCUGUGAGCAUUUUAAGUUGUUUAAAAAUAUUAGAAAAAUUGUUUGUUGUUUUGAAGAACUUCCAAAAUAUUUUUCAAGUACUUGAAAGAUUAGAUUUAAAAUUUCUCUCUCAAAAUAUUUUGAACCAAAUUUUUACUUUCAAAUUUAUCAAGUUUUAUUUCAAAAACAAGUUUUACUCAAAAACAUUAUAUUUUUUUAUAUCAAAACUCUUAUCAAAUUAAGGCUUGACUUAACAAAAUAUAAUCUUUAAACAUUACAUCUAAAUAUUAAAUAUUAAAAAUAAAUUUAUAAACAUGUAAUAUACAAUUUAUUGUUAUAAACUAAUAAACAAUUCAUUAAAAGUAAUGUUUUAAUUAACAUCUCUAUGAGGAAAAUGAUAAUUUAAUUCUUUUUAAAAGUUUAAUAACCAAAUUUAGAUUAAAAAACAAGAGUCAAAUUUAAUAAAAAUAUAUAAAAAUUGAGGGCUAAAAUUAUCAUUAUACUUUUAAUUAAUUCUUUUUCUUUCAGCUAUGCAAUUCUAUAAUUACAUUACAAAGCUAUUCCAUCCAAAGCAAAAAGAAGUAAAUUUGUGGUUGAGCCGGAAGAUAGCAUAAAUAGAAAACUUGAUGCCUGUGAAGCUAAAACUUUCUCUACGUAUAGAUAAGGAACUUCGUACACAUCACUUCUCUAGUUGUUGCGGUUGCCACUAUAUUAAUUUUUUCACUCCUCAAUUACAGCACUAAAUACAAUUAUAAGUAAACAACAUUAUUGAAAAGUGAACUAUUAGUUAAUGAAGUCCUUGAGUGUUGGGGAGAAGCAAAAAAAUAAAAAUUAAAACUAGGGGAUAAAUUUAAAUUGUAAUUUUUACAAUAAUAAAAAUGCAAUUCCGCAAUUUUAAUACUUUAAUUUAUAAGGAUUAAAUCAAUUUUUUAUCAUUUUUAAGAGGGACCAAAAUGUAAUUUUACCUUUACUAUUUAAAAUAUAAAAAAAAUUAAAGAGCUUCAAUAAAAAAAAAUCAUUUUUGGGGUCGGACCUACAAGCCCCUAAUUAUGCUACUACUUGGGUGGAUGCAAUACAAAAAGUUUUUGAUAUUUGAAACUCCAAAAAAAAAAAAUUGACUAUAAAUAUCAUGCAGAGGAUUAAAUGAAUGUCUUUGUUACAUGGUAUGGUUGUAAAUGUAGUAUCGUUCACUUUUUUUCAAUAUUCUUAGAUAUUUUGAAGGGUGUUAGAGAGUUUUAUUUCUACAUUUAUAUUUGGAUAUUCUUCGUAAAUUAUGGGUGUAAUACUUGAAUUUGUAAGUUAUUCAAGUUUGAAAAAAGUUCGAUUUGAUAAUUAUCAAUCGAGCACAAAUUCAAACAAUUCGAAUUAUGAAUUAAGUUAAAAGUCAAACAUUUUAAUAUUUGAUUAAAGUAUCUUGCGAGCAAUCGACCUUCUUAUAUAUUCUUUAAUUAAUUUUCAUACUGUGAAAUGUAUAGAUUUAUUGUAUGUAUUUAUAUAAAAAAAAUGUUAAUAUAAAAUUUGUAUUUAAAUAUCAUGGAAAAAAAAAUUAAACUGCACGUAACUUCUAUACAAUAAAUUAAGUGCUAAAUUAGAGAUAUGAUUGAAUGACUGAAAACAUGAAUAUAACUUACAUUUGAUUUGUGCCAGUAGAGUAACGUGUUAGAAACAUAAAAAUUUUGGCACGUUACUAAGGUUACUAUAGUAAAUACGAAAAAUAAUCUUAAAAAAUUUAUAAUCUUAGUGGCUCAUAUAAAUUUUUUAAGAAUAUCAAAUUAUAGAUUGAUUUUGAUCUUGACUGCUGAUAUAAAUUAAAUUGUACUAUUGAAUCUGAAGGAGUUCAACUAUAAAUAGAGACCUUCUCAUUUGUAAUCAUCCCAUUGUAACUCAUUCUUGAUUAAGAUCAUACUUUUACGAGUAUUUACUCGAACACUUGGUAUGCUAUUGCUUUUUUGUAGCUUUUUUUGUUCUCUCGUUGCUUCUUUAUUUUUUCGGUGCCCACUUUCGAGAGUAAGAUUGACUUUAGGCGAAUUUGAAGCGAAAGAAUCACCUAAUACCAUGCGAUUUGCAAGACUAUAAAGUUUUAGGCGUGUGACAAUAUUUUGUGGUUGUAAUUUGCUCCAAUAUUACAUUUGCUUUACUAGUUUAAAGUGUAAAGAUUAAGGACACAGAUUUGAUUUACUUCUAUGAUUGUCAUCGUUUAUUUCAGGGAAAUGUAGGCUUAAUGGAAAGCCACUUUAUAUUCAAUAGAGAUGGUUAUUGUUAAGGUAUUAUUUACUUCGAAACCAAGACUGUUCAAACAUGGAUGAAGAGUGAAGAGAUCAAUCUAUUUUUUUUUUUCCUUGAUGAAAAUCUAUGGUUUUUUCUUUUCAAAAAAUUUAUCUAGUAAAAAGAACUUUCCAUCCUCAAUUUGCAGCUAUGUCAUUAGCAACAAUUAUAUUAAUAUGUUAUUGCUUAUACUUGUUCUUUGAAGGUGGAAUUAUGUGUUCCAAACCUUGAAAUUCCUGGCGUUGUACUUGAUUUAUGAUCGGCUAUCACUUCUGUAUUUUGCAAAGAAAACUGAAGCGAAACAGAGUUUUAAAGCUUUUACGAGCUUUUGGUUUCCAUUACUGAAGCCGUCUCUGAUUGUCCUAAAACAAUUAAGAGUUGUUUCUAAUGAUUUGAAUGGUUUUCUCCAAUCGGGUUUUAACUUUGGAUUUGAACUAAAAAAUCUUAUUAAACUCCAUAAGUCUCACUGCUUUUAAUCUCAAUUAUAAAAGUGAGUACUUUUGGAUUGGGUUGUACUUAGCACUGUUCAUAAUUAUCUCCGCACUCUUUAUUUUUGUUCUUUUCUUUUAUUCUAUCUUUUUAUAAUUUAAAUCAUUUAAUCUGUUCAUGCAUUUUUUUGUGUAUUUAUUGAUUAAUAUAUUUAAAUUUAAUAGAUUGGAGUAAGAGUCAGGUUCUAAAUAUCUCACCUGGAGGAGGACUACAAGCAGCUCAAUUUCAUUCUGGUAUUCAUUCUCCCACAAAGCAUCUUUAACUAUUCAAAUUUUCAUAUACAGAUUAAUUCUCAUUGUAGACCCUGUACAAGGCAUAGUUUUGUGUUGAGGUUAAAUUUAAACUAGGGUCAUGGUUGAUUAGAUUUAUGGGUGUCUGAGUUGAUUUAAUGUAACUAGUCAAGGCAUAGUUUUUGUGUUGAGGAGUUGGUAUUGGGAAAUGAUAAACACUAGUGCUGGUCUUCUUAGGAAAUUUGUUUAAAAUCUGAUCGCCUUCCUUAUUAAGUCUUGUUUUUCUUUGGCGAGGGUCGCUUGGCAUGGUCUUUGUAUAAUAUCGUACCUAUCUCAAUGUGAUAUUACUAUUUUAGGUUAAAUGUAUUCAUUUAAUUAUAUAAGUAACACGUUUCUUAUUUUUUUAAGAUAUAAAUAAAAAACAUAAAUAGUUAUAAAUAAAUAAAAGAAACACAUAAACAAUAAUAGUAUUAAUUAUAUAAUUAAACAAUAGUUGAUUUUAAAUGAUUUACUAAACCAAUUUUAAACUAGCAUGAAGAUAAUUAGUUUGGAUAUGUUUCAUUUAUAUUAGGUUAAUUUAAUAAAUAAAUUUUAAAUUUUUAUUAACGUUGAUUUAUUUAAUUUAAAGAACGAAUAUAAAUAAACAAAGAUCCAACUCAUAAACUAUUUAUUUACGGCCUUAAACUUGACUUAUAUCCAUUUAGAACACUUAAGUAACGGUAAUUUAUUGUCAACUUUAGACUUCAAGAACUACGAAAUGAAUAACAGUUGGAUGGAUUUGUCAACGAAUAUCAAAAUGGAGUAUAAAUUUUUCUAAAUUAGCUUGCAUUUAAAUUUUUAUAUUUAAAUAAUUUAUUUAAAGUGAUUGAUCUACUAGUUAACUCACGCAUUACCUUAUAUUUAUACUUUCUCAGAGAAAAUUUUAAUUUUUGUAAUUAAUAAAUUUAAUUUACAAUUAAUUUUUACAUUAACUAACUAAACUUUUAUAAAGAAAAUUAGAAACCCCAUCGGUUAAAACUAGUUAUUUUUCCUUUUAAAAAAUCUAGUUAUUUUUUUUUAAAAAAAGUAAUAUUUUAUUAUUUUAUAUAUUUAAUAUAUUUAAUAUAAAAUUAUAUAAAUAUUUUAUUUUAUUUUUCGUUAUUCUCUACAUCUAUUUUAUGUUCAUGUUCGGGUUUAUUAAACUAAUAUUAAAAUUAUGCAUUUUAAUAUUUAUAUUAAUAUAUUAAUUUAAUAUAAAAACAUAUAUUUUAAUUUUUUUUAUUUAUAUACAUUAAUUUAUAAAUAUUUUUAUUGUUUUAUUGUUUUUAAAAAAUUAAUAAUAUUAAUAUAUUAUUUUAAAAAUAAUAAUUUUAUUUUAUUUUUUAAUAUUUUAUAAAAAUUAAAUGUUAUAAUAUUUUUAUUUUGUUAUUUUAUUAUAUUUUAAUGUAAAUAUUUUGUAAAUACUAAUAUUUUAUAUUUUAUUUUAAACUAUAUAAAAAAAGGAUAUUAAGGGUAAGAUGAUUUAAUAAGACUUAUGUUUUAACUCAUAGAAAAUACAUGGUAAGAAGAUUAACUGUUUGACACAAGUGUAAACCGUGUUCCCCUAUCUCGUACCCCUAAUAUAGUAUCGAAAAACACAUGGUGAGAAGAGUGAUAUAUAUCCAAUUUUCAACAACCAAACAAUUUGAUGUAGUAGCAUCUAUCUUUUAUCCAUCAUUUGAGAGUUGAGUGUUAUUUAACCUAAAACUCCUUUUUUACAUCAAGCCUACCAAAUGUGACCAGACUAUCAAUUUGACUAUAAUUCUAUAUAAAACGAUAAAAAUUGAGUUUUUUUAAAUUAGAAAAUCUUAAAAAUAUAUAAAUUUGAAAAUUAAAUAAAAAUAGAUAAAAUUUUAAAAAAUAUAUAUAGAUAAGUGAGAGAAAAUUAAGGAAAAUUAUUUUUCAUUAUAAGAAAAUAAUGAGAGAAAAAAAGAUUGUAUUUGGAAGAUUGGCAAUUUAUUGAUUUGUAUCUUUGGGUUGAGUUGAUAUUGUAGGAUGAAUCAAGCUCGUUAAUAAAGAUCAUAUCACUUGGAGAAACUUAUUUAGAAGAGUGGAUAGGAUUGGAUUGGCUUAUAUCAAAUCCUAUGGAUAAAGGAAGUUGGAUCGGAUUGAAAAAGUGAAGAGUUAGCUGUCAACCGUCAAUGUUUAUUGUGGUUGUUAAUAAUAUUAUAUUGUAUUUAGCUAUUUUAGUUGUUGUUUAGUAAGGAUUGUGAUAGAUCUUCAUUAUGUUAGCAAGUCUCGAAAUCUCUAUAUGUAAUUAAGAGACUUGUAUACGUUGAUGCACAAAUUAUUAAGAUCAUUUAUAUGUUCAAGUGAGGAACAUUGUUUUGCAAGAGUGCAUUUGUGAUUGUAAAACUUUGUAUUGUGGUUUUGCAAACUAAGUUCUCUGAGGGCGAAUUUAGUGGCGAGUGAUCUAGUCUUUGAAAGUAUAAGAGUGAGGAAUCAUCAUUGGGGUGUGAUACAUUUAGGUUCACUGGUUGUAAUUGUUUAAAUAUAGUGAUUCUACUGAGCAAGGCUUCACAAGUGUAUGGAAACUAAACUGCAUAAAUAAACUUUAAUGUUUCCUAUUUUGUUUUUGCUUAUCACAGUGCUUGCAGAAGUACACACUUUUGUAGUCACUACUACUCAUACUUUGCUUGUUACCUAGCAACAGUUUUAGAUCAACAACAAAUCGUUUAAAUGAAUUAAAUUUUAUUAAUGGAGUUUGAAAAAGAAUAUUUUCUGGUAUAUUUUGUAUUUUUUUUUACUAAAAGAAUGGGAUCAAAGUCAAUUUCACAAGUCUUAGUGAGAUUAGUUUGAAAGAAGUUCUUCAACAGCAUGGAACUUGAUUUGAAGGCAUUACUAAUUUUGUCCUACUUUGUUUUAAAUUUGUUAUUGGAUUCUAUUAAAUAAUCUUUUUCUUUUUUAUGUCUCAAUAUUGAACAAUCUUAAGCUUUACUGCAAUAUAAUAUUAAGUUUUCUUGUAUGUUUCUAAUCACAUUUAAGCUUUGUGCAGAAUGAAUGUUUAUUAAGAUAUUGAAAUUGAUCUAUUUUUAAAAUCCAUUUUCAUGAUUUAAGGCAAUGUUGAAUAUUUUGUUGUUGCAGAAAUCAAAAUUUUUAUAUAGAAUUUUCUAUUUUUUUAAAUAAUAUUGAGUUUUUAAAAUUAAUUUUAUAUAGAAUUAGGGUUAAAUGGAGAGAAAGUAUAAAAGCUAAGGGUUAAAAUUCUCAUUAUCUAACUAAAAAAGUGUGGUUGUUAGCUAUUUAAUAGUUGGGUAAAAAAAUAAUUUCGAAAAUGUUAGUGGCCAAAUUGUAGCUCUUUCAAUUAAGUGACACAUAAUUGAGGGAUUAAUAGUGUAAUUCCAUUAUCUUUUUUAAACAUAUGGAUUAAUUCACAUUUAUUUGGAAUCUGUUAUUAAUUCACUUAUGUAUUUAACUAGUGGUGGAGCUAGAAAUUCCUCUUUGGUCCACCAUUCUAUAUCACUACCAAUUGGCCAUGCAGUUUCUUGAGCUGUAGCAGAUUCUUCCACUAUAAUUUCAUCAACUGAUUGGCUUGCCUGCAAAGCAAAUUAAACCUUCACUUAUUACUGUUUGCUUGUGAUGAUUGAUGAUGAGGAAAGCAAAGCCAAUUUUCCAAAAUUGGACAAAGGAUGACAUAUUAAGAACAAGAACUGUGAAUUGAAAAUAAUAAUGCAACAAUGAUAUCUAGAAAGAAAUAUUGACAGCCAACAGAAACCGAUUACAGUUGAUGCAAUUUCAUUUAGUCAUUUAAAGCAUAAAAACAAAAACAAAAAAGAAUUUCUCAGGCAGCCAUAAUAAAAAUAUUGCAUUAAUGCAUAGAAAUUAAAGCUUAGUAAAUAUAAAGUUUGGGAGAAUAGUGUACCUGUGUUUUGGCAUGCACUGAUUGCUUUGAAUCAACACUAAAUCUUGUGGUUACGUUGGGACAACCUUUUACUUUUAAAUACCUCAAAGAUUGGAAAACAAAAUGAUAGCCCACAGGGCUGAAGCUCACGAGGUUUGGUAGCUCAACAAGCUCUGAGGAGCAGAGCUGAGGUAGGCGUAUCACUUUCUCUUCUUCCUUAUUCAGAUUUGACUCAUCUCCUUCAAACACCUGCUCUAAUUUGGAGACCCAUUUAAGGCAUAAUCUCAAUAGGUUUGGAAGGCCGUCAUGAGCAAGAGUAAAGGGGAAGAGACAUUUCAAGUUUUCACAGUUAAUGAUUGUAAUCGAACUCAAAUGAGGGAAGCAAAUUGGUUGGAGAUGAUGUUGUGAUGAAGUUUGAUCCUUCUCAAUUAUUUGCUCCAAUUCCUCACAGUUAGAUAUAACCAAAGUCCACAAUUGUGGCAAAUUUCGAGCGAUGGUAGGUGAGAAGAUGUAUCUUAACCUUCUGCACUUGAAGACUGCCAAUUCAGUGAGAUUUUGGAAGUGUUCAACUUGGAUGGGACCAGUCCAUAUCACCCGCAAUUCAGUUAGUUCGGACAACUUUAGGGUCUUUAGACUUGAAAGAUUAUAUCCAGAAUAUUCAAAUAACUCUUCAAAAUUUGAAAUUGUUAAAUAUUUCGUACAUGUUGAUGUUCCUUCUCUCCUUUCAGGGUCUGUCACGUUGCUUAUUUGCUUCUUUUCUGUCAUCUUCGACAAAUCCAAUACCUAUAAACAUAUCAUCAAUUUAAGAAUAAGCACAAGAUUUCUUUUUCAAUCUUUCAUAGUCGAAGAAUUCAAAUUUUUAAAAAGUUUGCUGUUCAACUCAAAUAAUCAUAAAUUACAAAAAAAAAACUCCAAAAGCACAACAUAAAUAAUAUUACGUAGAACUAGAUAGCGUUUGCAAUUAACUAAACUACUUAAAUAAUAUAUAAUUCUACAAUGUUAUUUAUGUUACUAAUUGGUAUUGUAAUUAACUAAACUACUUAAAGGUUUAUUUAGAGUAGUUUUUAGACCAAAAUUCUACAAUGCAAACUAUUUUUUAAAGAGUUAUACAAGCAUUUAUUUAUUUUAUACAAGAAAAUCAACAGGUGAAAAUUUUAAUAAAUAAUAUAUAUAUAAGGUGGUCUUACUUGUAUAUUAGUUGGAACGAUAAAAGGUGUCAAUUGAGGACAAUCUCUCACUCUUAACACGUGUAAAGAUGGCGAUGUCAGCACGAUGUCGUUUCUACCCCUUCCUUUCAAUUGAGGCAAAUUAAUUAACUCAACUUCAUUCAAUCGUUCAAGACCUUGAGACAUUGAGAUUAACACGUCUGGUCUUUGGAUUAUUUCUUGCAAUUGGAAACAGCUCUCCAUCCUCAGAGUUUGCAAUUGCCCAAGACUAUUAGCAACACACAUUGGGAAGAGAAAUUUCAACUUAUUGCAUUCUGUGACUUGUACUUCCCUUAGGCAUUGGAAGCUUAUGGUUGGUACUUGUGAGUCUUGGAUUAUUUCUUCCAUUCCAAAGCAUCUCCUUAUCCACAGAGUUUGCAAAUUGGGCGCAUUUAGUUUUUUAGAGCUACCUUGAGCAACAAUAAUUGGAAAGAGAGAUUUCAAGCUUUCACAUUCCAAGAUAUCAAGUAGAAUCAGAUUUGGAAAGCAAACAGGUAGGGGAUGAUGUUGUGAUGACGUUUGAUAUUGCUCCAAUUCCUCGUAUUUACAUGACUGCAAAUUGCUCAAUUGUUCAUUUGUCAUCUUCCCAAUCACCAAUUCCUAUAAACAUAUCAUCAAUUCUCAAUUUCAAAAUGUUCAAAGAUGUCAACAACUAACUUAACAUUUCAUCAAUUAAUUUCCUUACAAAAAAAUUAUUUUACCUUAAAUCAAUAUUAUACUCCAAAAAUGUGGUACAAAAACAGUCAUAAAUAAUAUCACAUAAUCAAUAUCAAACAACAAUAUAAUUUUAUACAGCUUUUUGUUUACCCAUAUAAUAGGUAUAAUAUAAUUUAGCAUUAGGUACUAAAACAUAAAGUUUGGAUAAAUUUUUUUUUUUGAAAAUUUUAUUAAUCUUAUUAUAUGGUAUUAUAAUCAACUAAUUUGUUUAAAAGGUUAUUUAGAUUAGUUUUAGACCAAAAUCAUACAAUAAAAUCUAUCUUUUAAACAACUAUUCAAACAACGAAUUAUUAAAUAAAAACCAGAAACAAACAAAUAAAUAAUAUAAAACAAAAAGAAAAAUCUUACUUGAAUCGUAGUCGAAAUAAUAAAAUGUGUCAAUUGAGGACAAUUGUAUACUUUUAACUUCUGCAAAGACGAUUGUGUGAGCAAAAUGCCGUUCACAUCCGUUUUUUUCAAUUGAGGCAAGUCAAUCAACGAAACCUGAAAUGAAAAGCAUAAUCAAAUUUCCCAAUCUUUGACCAUAGGACAAUAAGGAAAAGAAAUAUCAAGUUAUUGCAGUGAGAUACACAUACUUCCCUUAGACUUUGGAGUAGACACUUGUAUGCCAUUUGUCGGUCUUGGAUUAUAUCUUCCAGUUGCGAGCAACUCUUUAUCUUCAAAGUAUGCAAUUGGCCAAGGCUAUUAGCAACUGAAAUUGGGAAGAUAUAUUUCAAAUUAUUGCAUCCCUCUAUUUCAACAAUCUUCAGACUUUGGAGGCUUAAAUGACGACUGGGCCCUUCUUGUUCUAUGCUCCUCAAUUCAGCAAUUGGGAAUAACAGUUGCAUCUCACCACAAUCUGAAACUACAACCUCUUCAAGCUUUUGUAAAAAACCUUGCGGCUGGGGAGCAUUGCACAUCCCUCCCAAAUGAAACAUAUGACUUAAUGAUAACUUUAUCAAAUUAGAGAGUGCAGUGAUUGGCACUUGCUGCUUUGAUACAUCAAUUAGGCAUUGCAUAGAGUGGCACUGUCGAAGAUCUAGAGAAGUCAACUUUCUAAAUCCCAAGUCCAAGCUCGGAAUAAGGUUUGGGUGACCCUCCACCUUAUUCAAUUGAAGAGAUUCUACAUCUUCAAGUAGUUGCUUGCAUGCAUCUACUGACCUAUCGAUUCUCAAAGAUCUUGAGAUUGGACAAGUUUCAAGGUCCCUCUUUCGGUACCACCGUUCUCUUUUUAUGCCAAUGCAAACAUCAAAGCUCCAUAAUCUACGAAACACAAAGCCAUCUAGAAAAUGUUCAGAAGAAAUAUCCAAUGAUAUUACAACCAACUUUGGCAAUAAAUUCAACUCUGAUAGGCUGGCAUAGCUUUCCCUUUUAGUUGAAUUCUCAGUCGCCCAUUUUAAUUAUCUACAGCCAUGCAAAUAUAGUUCUUCUAAAUUGGACAAUCUUCGUAUUAAAUUAGAAGUGAUUCUUCGUAGUUCAUAGCAAUACGAUAAAUCCAACAGUCUUAGAUUUUCCAAAUCACCAGCUUCAGUCGGCAAUUCAGUGAUAUCAGAUCGACUUAAAGAGAGAAUAUGAAGUGUCUUCAGCUUCCCAAGCAUUGAGAUGUCAGAGAGUUUACAAUUAAUCAAAUACAAAGUCUGAAGGUUCAUAUGAAACUGAAAUGUAGACAGAGAUAUCAACAGAUGAUUCAAAGCACAAACUUGUAAUGCCUUCAUACCCUCAAAGAAUUCGCUUGAAGUUUCCAUGAAACGAUUGUCACCAUGUAAAAGAAGUUUGAGGUAUGGAAAACCCACUCCUUUAGGAAGUUCAUCCGUUUGAUCAGUUUCGAAGGAGAUUGCUGUGUAAUGCUUGAAACUUUCAUCCAUCGGGAGUGUUUCAACAGUCCCAAAAGAAAUCUCCUUUCUUGAAGAUGCUAUCCACAAAGCAAAUUGGCGAACCACGUCAUGCAUUUUGACAUGCCUUUCUCCGCAAUCUAGCAACAGACCGGAGUUCUUGAGGGUCUCAAUUGAUGCAAGCACUUCACUUCUAACAUCUUUAAUUGAGUCCAUGCCUUUAUACAACUCCAGUCCCCAUGCAUAUCCUACCAAGUUCUCCACAUAAAUCUCAUCAUCUUCAGGAAAUAAAGAGCACAACAAGAAACAUGUCUUGGUCUCCAUAUUCUUCAAUUAGUCGAAGCUCGCCUCAAGACAUACAUAGGCAUUUUCUUCAUUAACAUCCUCAAUUUCAGUCAAUCUACUAUCUUUGAGCCUCCGGUAUGCAGCUUGCCACUCAUGAUGGGUUUUACCUUUCAAGGCACUUCCCAGCGGAACUAUAGCUAUAGGCAAACCCCUGCAUUUUUUGACAAUUUGAUUUGCUAGAAUUUUAAUAGAAUCAUCAGAAAAGUCAUCUAGACCUGCUUUCUUUUCAAACAGAGUCCAAGCUUCAUCAUCAUUCAAACAGCCAAGUUGAACCACGUGUUGACAAUCCAUAACUUGACAUACUUGUUGACGGCGUGUUGUUAAAAGAACUUUGCAGCCUUUAUGAUCAUCCCCAAUUGGAAUUCCUAUCUUCUCCUUUAAGUUGAUAGAUUCCCAAAUAUCAUCAAGGAUGAUAAGAAUCCUCGGUUCAUUCUUCAGCCGUAACCAUAAUUCUUGCUCGGAUCUUCUUCCUUGUUCAUUCUUCAUAUCAAAGCCUAUGUAUUGUGCAAUUUGAUCUUGAAUUCUCACAAAUUUUGGCUUUUGAGACACAACCGUAAUCACAACUUUGUCAAACAAAUUCAGUUUUUGAGCUUGACUUCCAACUUCACGAGCCAGGGUGGUCUUGCCCACCCCUCCCAUCCCCCACAACCCAAUCAUGUUGAUAUUCUCAUCUUUUAAGGCUUCAAUGAUUUGAUUGAAAGCAGCCUUCGAAGAUUCCGAAACCACAAAUUCCUUAGAACAUAGGAAGUCUAUAGUGGGAAGGGCAGUAGGAUCACGGUAACCGACUGGUCCAAGUCGACCAAAUUUUUCCAAAAGCUCAGAGAUAUACUGAGUUUUCUUCAUUGCUUUCUUACUUAAUUGAUAUCUCCAAAUCCAAUUAGGACACCAAUUGAGACACCUCUUAUUCAGUUGGAUUUCCUCCGACAGUGCUUUGUCUGCCUUUGAUUGCAAGUUCUGUACAUCCUUUUGAAUUAGUAGAACCCUCCUUUCAGCAUCCUCAAUCUCAUGUUGUAGACGAUCUCGUGCAUCUGCAAGUUCAAGCUUUUUCUCUCGGAGCUUUUCAUCAUUGUCAUGAAAGCGACGGACAUAAUCAAGUUGAUGUCCUACCGGCUUCACCACACAGUCCACAAUCAGUGUUCCAACUGUGUUAGAAAGAGCAGCCUCACAAAAUCCGCAACCCAUGCUUGACAAGCUCAAAUUGAAGAAUAUGAUGUUCCAAGUUCAAACACUGUAGUGAAUCAUAAGUAAUUACCAUUAAAAAAAAAUUAAAGAAUCAAAAAGUGUUUUGAAGAUUAAGACACUACUUCUCAUACAUACCAAGGAUGGUGAAAGACAACUCAACCUAUGAGAAUCAAUGUGCUGUUCUUUCAACUCAGUCCAGCUGAAAACACAAUGAGAAAUUUAAUAAACAAAUAUGUCAUAUAAUUAUAACUAAAAAAGACAGUUAAUUACUUAUAAAAAUAAAAAUUCAAAAUAUUUUGACCCUCACACUAAUAAUAUUAUAGAUAUAAUGCUGGAAAAUAUAAUAAACAUAUCCACUUACCAUUUCAAAAUCCAAACAGUCUUUUAGCUCUUACUUGCUUCAAGAAAAACAUAAAAGAUCAAAAAAAAUAUAGAACAACUUCAAUUUAUAUAUAAAAAAACAGAAAUGAAGCAUAUAUAAAUAGGUUUACCUCACUUGGGAACUUCUAAAAUCAAACUAUGCUUAGUGCUCAGAAGAUUGUUACUUCAAAACAAUCAAAAGGGAGGGAUUUGAAGGUUGGUUUUUUUUUUUCUUUAGCAAAAGUAAGUAAAACUGAAUACAAAAAGAAAGGAACUUGAAGAAAGGGAGGGAAAAAAGAAGAACAUAAAAAGAUCAGAUGAGAUCAAAAAUAUAUAACACAAAUAUAAAUAGACUUUUCUCACUUGGGAACUUCAAAAUCAAACUACACUUAGUGUUGAGAAGAUUCUUACUACUUCAAUACAAUCAAAAGGGAUUUGAAGGUUGGGUUUUUUUUGAGCAAAAGUAAGAAAAACUGAAUACAAAAAGAAAGAACUUGAAAGAAGGGACAACAAAGUAGAAAUCAAGGUUGAACUAAAAAAAAGGAGAAACUUUCAGAAAGAAAUUGAAAUUGAUCUGCCAGGAAAAGUCAACCACUCGGAAAGCAUAAACUCUAACACAACUGGGUUUUCUUGGUUUAGUAGCCAAAGGAUCUGUGUUAUGAGAUUAGUGCAGUAUUGGAUCUAAAUUAUGAGGAUUUGUUUUUCUGAUUGGUACUGAUUGCUUUGCCACAUGACGUGAAAUGGUAGAGGACGACUUUCAGUACAUUUAAAAUAUCUACUUUUCUUCAGUUUCUUUUUCUUAAUUUUCAUUUGUUAUUAGAAAUGAAAAUGGUUUUUCUUUAUUCAUUUUUAUACAUUUAAGGAGUAUUUUCUAUUAUUUAUUUGUUUGCAAAUUUUAGAGACACACGUAAGUAUACUUGUUAAAUUUUAUUUAUUUUUAUUAGAGUAAACUACUAAAAUAGUUACUUUUGUUUGGCACAGGUUACAUUUUAGUCACUUAUGUUUAAAAUGUUACGUUUUAAUCACUUAUGUUAUCACGUUGUAACAUUUUAGUCACUGAGCCGUUAGUUUUUAUUAACGGUGUAACAGUAAACUGAUGUGGCACGUUAAAUCAUCAUUUCAAACAAAAAUUCUAGGUUAAUUUAUACAAUCGGUCCCCAUAUUUUUUCGUUUGGAGCAAUUUAAUUUUUUCUUUUAUGUUUUUUUAACUUUCUUUCUUUUCCAUUCUCUUAUGUUUCUCCCUUUGUUUUCCUCCCUUCUCCAUUUCUUUCAACGUAGUUAUUCUAUGUUUUAUUUUUUUGAACAAUUUAAUUUUUUCGAGUGAGGCGAGCUUGUGGACUAGUUACAAAUGGAAAUCAUAGAAAAAUUAUGUUAAAAGAAAUGAAGAAGGGAGGAAAAUAGAGGGAGAAACAUAAGAGAAUGGAAAAAAAAAGUUAGAAGAACAUAAAAGAAAAUUUUUAAAUUGUUGAAAAUGAAAAAAUAUAGGGACCAAUUGUAGAAUUUAACCUAAAAAUUUCGUUUAAAAUGAUGAUUUAACGUGCCACAUCAACUUAUAAUUACACCAUUGUCUACAAUUAACGACUCAGUGACUAAAAUGUUACAACACGAUAACGUAAGUGACUAAAACGUAACAUUUCAAACAUAAGUGACUAAAAUGUAACCUAAGGCAAACAAAAGUGACUAUUUUAGUCGUUUACCCUUUUUAUUAUAUAGAAAGCUCUUUUCCUCAAAAUUAAUUAUAAAUAACAAUUUAAAUUUGGAUUAAAUUAUCCAACAAUGCUGAAAAACAAAAUUACCAGAAUAGGCAGUCUUUUGUAAAAAAUUGUGGGAGUAGGCCAAUUUUACAAAAACACUCCUAGUUAUAAGCGUUUUUAGCUAAUUUGCAGAAAAACACUUCUAGUUGGAAGCGUUUUCAAUGUGUUGCCAGAAAAACGCUUUCAGUUGAAAGCGCUUUCUACCAAAUCAACUAAAAACGCUUCUAGCUAGAAGCAUUUUCCCCCAACGAUAACGAAUAACUACUUUCUCCAACGACGAUUUAAUUACCCAUUGGACCCCCCACCUACCCUCUACGGUCCCAUUUUAUUUCCUAUAUAACCCUUCCCAAUCUCAUUUUUCUUCCAAUUCAAUCUCAAAUCUCUCUCAGAUUUCUCUAAAUUCCCUCUUCAAUCCCACUCAAAAUUUAUUUCUCUCUCAACUUUAUUUUUUUAUUAAAAUUAUCUCAACAUUUUCAUAAAUUAUUUUUUCUAUUACAAAUUAUUCGGUGUUUUUCAAAAUUAGCAAUGACAAAAUCUCUAACUUGUUUUGAUGACAACCACAUUUCCGUUGACCAAUUGCAAAUGGUAGGAAUAUUUUUUAUUAUAUUUCAAUGUUGUUUAAUUUUACUAUUUUCUUGUAAUAUUUGAAUUUAAUAUUUUGUAUUUUUUUACCUAAAUGGGAAGAAUAUCAAAUUUUGGAGGCAUAUAUUCGUAAUCUAUCUGCUCCUCCAUCACCCUUGAUCGAACCCUACUUGAGAGAUGUCGGUUUUCAUGUGUGGCCCUUGUAGGUAAGGGGUGUAAGUUGGACCCGACACUCGUAAACGCAUUAGUGGAAAAGUGGAGACCCGAGACACACACAUUUCAUCUUCUAUGCGGCGUGUGUACUAUCACUUUGGAAGAUAUGCAACUAUAGCUUAGGUUACCAGUGGAUGGACUAGAAGUGACUGGGUCAGUUCAAGCAGCCGAUUGGAAAGACGUAUGCGAAGAACUUUUAAAGAGGGUUCUAGUGGAGCCCAGAUAGAUAUGAGUUGGUUAAGAAGAAAUUUUGGUGGGCUUGAUGAGGAUUCAACUGAAGUCUAAAAAGAACAACACGUUUGGGUUGUAACACCCCAAAACUCGGCCUAGAAGUUAUGACUAGAUAUUGAGUGAUUAAAUCAACUCGUUCAAAGCUUCGGUUCAAAUAAAACUCAAUGCAUGCUUCGAAAAAAUAAAAUUUUAGCAAAACACCCAUUGAUGGUUAGAAAAGCCGAGUUCGAAAACAGUUACUUAAAACCAAUAAUUCACAUUCAAAAUCGCGUGUUUUGAAAGUACUAACGUGAGCAGAUCAUUUCUAGUAUUAAAACAGUCAUUCGUUACAAACCAUAUAUUUUAUUUUCAAAAAAUACUUAAAUGAUUACUUAACCUUGUAGCGGAAAAUUUUCAAAGUUUGUUUUAGUUUGAAAACCGAAAUCUAACUUAUUAGCUCGUGUGAUUUGCAGUUUAAUGCUCAAAAAUAUUUAAUGUUGACAAAUAUAACAAAAACCAAAACUAGGACCAAAAAACAUAUUACAGUCCAAAAAUAAUUAAAUUGUAAACCCAUAAAUAUUUUAUCUGGUAACCAAUCCGAGCUCUCGCACGUCGUCCGGUCUUAAGUUAGAAGUUAACCUAAAACAUAUUAAACAAACAAAUGAGCUAGGAGCCCAGUGUGUAUCUCAACCAACAAGCAUAAUUUUUAUUUAACAAGCACAUACGUAAAUGUGAUCAAAAAAUUUUACUUUAAUGUAUCAAUAACAUAUCAUAAUGUUAUAUUGCUAGAAACAUAUAUAUUUCAGAUGAUAAUAUCAUAUAGCCGAAACAUAUUUCGAUUUGGAAUAUCAUAAUUUCAUAUACAAAUAUAUCAUACCAGAAUGCCAUGUUUUCAGAAGUACAUAUGUCAUACCAGACCAGAACAAAUGAAUAUACAAAUCCUACAUUCAUCUGCUACACACCAACUCCGUCUAACGAAUCACACCAAUUAGGACUUCAAGAGUCCAUCCAUCCAAAUCACAUUGGGUUGUGGUGGCAUGCCACUCAUAAUAGUGCUACUCAGUUGCCAAACAUAUAUCGUGGUUUAACCGUCGAAAAUGCAGUAAUGCUACUAGAAAACAUUUCCUUCAGCAAAUCAGAACCACCCCAAUGCAUAUGCUAAAUCACAUUAACAUACAUAUAUAUCACAUAAGUUGUAUGCAUGCAUACAUAAACAGAUAUUAUACGGAACGUAACUUACACAUAAUUUAUAUAUAUCAUAGCAUAUCAUAUUCAUGGUCGAAUCAAAUAGCUUAUCAGAACAUAUAACAAAAUAUGUAUAACACACAUGGUUUACAAAAUAGUCAUGCUUAACUCACGUACCUACUUAUAGCUGAUAAUAUUACAUUAUUAUAUUUAUCAUAAUUUAUUUAACAUACUUCCUACACUUACCCAUGUUUGUUUUACUGAAAUUUAUGCUUUCUAGGCCUACAUAAUGCCCCCGGACCUAAAUUCUGAGUCCUUUAAUCGACUUUUAAUUGGCCCAAAAGACCUACUCGGCCCAAAAAGCUAGUCGUGUGGUCCAUAUAGUCUAUCCACACGAUCAGCACACGAUUAGCAUGAUCUCACACGGCAUGGGUUAUAAAAACACAUAUGGUCGUGUGCCCCACAUGGGCUACAAAAUCAUUCACGGUCCUGUGUCCCUCAUGGCCUAUCACACGAUUAUGUGUCACUGGGAAGUUUUAGAAAACAACUUUGUUUUACAUAUUUUCUGAAUUUUCGAUGAGUUUUUUGAGUUAAAUCACACGCUUGAUUGCUGAUUUUGAUGUAGAUUCGCGAAAGAACACACAAGAACCUAAAAUCAAUAUUCCAAAUGUAUUAGUAACAAAAUGCAAAACUAAAUCAAGAUUGACACACUAACAUAACAUUAAAGGACCUAGCACAAAAAAAAUAACAACAAUAUCUAAGUCGUCGAAGGAAUGCCCAACACCUAUUGUUCUUUUCCUAAAAACGAUUUGAACUCGUUAAGUACAAAAAAUACACAUUAAUACCAUACUACUAAAGUUUUGAAACCCUAAACGCCCAAUGAAGUAAUUUUAAUACAUGGCUGAAAAAAUGAAGGAUGAAGCAACCUUACCCUUAAUGACAAACUUAUAGCACAAAGGACGAAUGAUAAACAAAUUAACAAAAGAAUAAAAAAGAAGAAGAGAGAGAAAAAGCAUGAAAAAUUGGAAAACCAACCAUAAAGAAAAAAACUAACGAGAAAAUAAAGGGGGAGGGAAAGAGUGAGGGGAUGGUAUAUAAUAAAAAGAAAAUUUAGAAGAAAAUCUCUCUUCACUACUUUUAAAACUACCCAACUAACUCCUAGUGUCACGGGGCUAGACCUUUCGUCUUGCAAUCCAUGUGGCCUUAGGCUAUCCAUUCGUCUAAACUCUCCUAAGUCAGCCUCAACUCAAGUGAGGAUUUUUUUAGAACUCCUUCAAGGCACCAAAUUGAAUAGUAGAAGCGAUUUAUGCCAAGAGAAGAACAACAAAGAACAACAGAAAGAAUGCUCGCAAAGUGUUUGUGUAAAUGCUCUCUAUUCUCUUAUUCACAAAGAAUAAUGAAACAAUGAAUGGAGUGAGUACAACUAAGGGGGGCUCUCUAUUUAUAGUUGAGCUCCCCCAAAAUCGACGGUUAAGAUAUAUUUACAUCGACGGACGAGAUUAACCAUAUCCCUUUAUUUUAGGGAUUUACAAGAUAAGCCUUAUCAAAUCUAAUCUAAUCUUUACAAGAUAUGAUUCCCUCUAUCUUCUAAGAUUGGUUACCAUAUUAGCCUAAGUUGCCAUGUCUUUGUUAUUGGGCCAACCAAGCUUCAAUCUGACAGGCUUCUCCAAUAUCUCUUUGAAUCGGGCCAGUUCUUGUAGGACAAAUGAUCCCCAUUUCAACAAUAGACCCCCAUCGGAUGCAUUUGGUGCAAUGGUCACGGGCUUUGAACUGCGGCUUGUGACGUUCUCCCCCUCCUAUUUUCGCAAUAUCCUUGUUAUGACUUCUGAAUGGUACUAACUUGAUUCACCUCGGUCUCGUCUCGACGCCUUAGCUUUUCCCUUCCUUUGAGACUUUUGCUUUGGCUUACGUCGCUUCUUCACUCGAACCAUCCUACUCGUUUGCACAUCUCGAUGACAAGAAGUUAUGUCACUCUUUUGCCCAAAUUCUAACUUAACUCGAUCAGAAUCCUCUUGAUUCACCACACUUGGCUUUGCUUUGCCCACAGUCUCUCGACCUCUUUGCUCAAGAACUUUGAAAGGGCCACUACGUUCUUGCCAAGUCAAUAAGUUAGAAUGAAACACACUUUCAGAGUGUUCGGAAUGUACCUUUGCAUUUACUCUGGUCAACUGUCCCUCAUGCAUCACUUAUUUUUCCUUGAAGUCUGGUGUACUACCCACCUCUCCCAUAGGUGGAAGCCUUGUUGAUGACUUGGCCAACUCUGACGCUUCACUCAACUUGAGCCUCAUUGGUCCCAGCUUCAUUGUUUUCAUCGUAACUUUUUCCUCUAAGUCCAAUGACAAACUCACCUUUUCCUUGGGUGGAAGCCCCUCCGAUGACUCAACAAGCUCAAACGUUGCAUUUCCCUUGACUCUGGCUUACUUUAGACAAUUCUACAACUCAUGCGGACCACGACAUAAGAAGCACUUCACUUGCUUCUUUUUGCUCCUCUUUGCCCUAUUGGCUUCGACUUUUCCCUUGCUCAAACCAAGCUUUUUGGGCUCCUUGUCUGCUCCAUCGUUCCCCUCGAUGAUAGACUUUCUCGGACACUUACGCAACCUAUGCGGACCAUGGCACAAGAAGCACUCCACUGGCUUCUUCUCGCUUUCGGCCUCCUUGGCUUCGACAUCCCUUGCGCUCGAACCAAGUACCAAGGCCUUACCCACUGGCUUCUCUUUAAACGCGAAUUUCUUUGGACAUUUCUUUAACAAGUGUAGACCAUCGCAGAGAAAGCAUUUCAGCUUGUCCCUUUUCUUCUUGGGUUUCUUCUUUCCAACUCGUGGUUUCCCAUUACCACCAUUGUCGCCGUUGCCAUUACUAUCAACAAUAUCUUCCUUGUGAUCCAUUUCACAUACGCCCCUUUCCUCGGACUUGGAAGACCCAAGCUUGUCUUUCCCUAGACCAAGCUUGACCACGGAUUCAACUAUCGUCAUGUCUUCCGACAGCUUUUGGACCCUCUUUGUUCCACCUCCUGUCUGACCCACGACUUCAAUCCAUUUUGAAAAGCAAGCAAUGCUUCUCUUUCAGUCACCUCUGAAACUUGGAGCAUGAGUUCCUUGAACUCUCGAACAUACUCCCCUACUGUGCCCCGUUACGUUAUCCCCUACAACUUUGCCUGAGCUUCUUCCUCGGUACAUUCUGGGUAAAACUGUCCCUUCAAUUCGCAUUGGAACUCUUGCCACGUCCCAAUCUCACAUUGCCUUUUAUCUGUGAUCCUGCCUCGCCACCAUAAAAGCGCAAUGUCAGUAAGAAACAUUGAAGUAGUGUUUACCUUAACCGCAUCAUCUACAAUGCCUUUGGCACGGAAGUAGUUUUCUAUUCUCUACAAGAAAUUGUCCAUAUCGCAUGUAGACCUUGUCCCCACAAACUCUUUCGGCUUCGGGACAUCUUCGUUACUAAGUGCUGUACUUGACACUCCUUUCCCCACGGCUGCUCGGCACAAGGCCAGCUCUCCCUCGAGCUCCUCUAUUCUUAUGCUCAAAGCUCUCGUUGUGGCCAUUUUUUCCUCUUUCAAAGCCAUCAUCAUGGCCUCGAGAGCAUCGUUCCUUUCCUUCAGCUUCUUCUUUUGGGAAUCUAGCAACUCUUGCACGCUAUCCCUUUGAGAAGUGAGACACAUGGUCACAAAGUCCCUGGACUGCUCCCUCAAGUCAUCAAUGCUUUCCCCAAGCGCAUUGUUUGACUCUCUUGCAUCCUCCAUGGACUCCUCAAGUUUACCCACGCGUUCCUCAACAGUCGAAAACAUCUCCCUCAAAGACUUUCUCGCCCACCUUUCUUCAAACUCUUCUCUCGACAUCCCAACGGUGCCUUCGAACCAAAACUCAUAUAUCACUUGGUUCAAACCAACAGCUCGAAUACUACUUGGUUUGAACUUGGCUUGGAUACUUACUUGGUUCUAACCUUGCUUGGAUACCACUUGUCACGGAGCUAGACCUUUCGUCUCGCAAUCCGUGCGGCCUUAGGCAAUCCGUUCGUCCAAACUCGCCUAAGUCAGGCUUAACUCAAGUGGGGAUUCUUUUAAAACUCCUCUAAGGCACCAAAUUGAAGAGCGGAAGCGAUUUAUGCUAAGAGAAGAACAACAAAGAACAACAGAAAGAACACUCACAAAGUGUUUGAGUAAAUGCUCUCUAUUCUCUUAUUCACAAAGAAUAAUGAAACAAUGAAUGGAGUGAGUACAACUGAGGGAGAGGCUUUCAAUUUAUAGUUGAGCUCCCCCAAAAUUGACGGUUAAGAUACAUUUACAUCGACGGACGAGAUUAACUAUAUCCCUUUAUUUUAUGGAUUUACAAGAUAAGCCUUAUCAAAUCUAAUCUAAUCUUUACAAGAUAUGAUUCCCUCUAUCUUCUAAGAUUAGUUACCAUAUUAGCCUAAGUUGCCAUGUCUUCGUUAUUGGGCCAACCAGGCUUCAAUCUGACAGGCUUCUCCAAUAUCUCUUUGAAUUGAACCAGUUCUCGUGGGCCAAAUGAUCCCCAUCUCAGCAAUAGACCCCCAUCGGAUGCAUUUGGUGCGAUGGUCACGGGCUUUGAACUGCGGCCUGUGACACUAGUCGUAUCCACAUAAGAUUUUUCCCAAAGUUAAUAAUUUUUUUCCACUUUGCAUAUGUAAGGAUUUGAACAUAAGACCAAAGGGUAAGCUGAUACCUUACCAUCAAACCAACAGGCUCAUUCUUGUCAAUAGAUGCACUCAAAUAUUUCUUAAACCAAAUACCAAAAACUAGGGAUUUAGACAAAAUUUGCAAAAAUAGAAGCGAAAAGAUUCGAACCUAAAACCUUUCUCACACAAGCACAACCCUUAACCACUUAACUAGAACAAAUUACUUAACAUAAUUUCAAAAUCUUAACUCAAAAAUCACAAUAUGACCUCUCUAGGUUUCACUAACCCACUUUUUGCAUUUUUCCUUUUUAUUUUUCAACAAUUAAGGAUGAAAACUAAGUUAGUAUAAUAAAUAAGUGUGGUAGGAAAUAAUUAAGAAAUGUGUAAUAGACCAAUCGCCAAGCAUCACCCCAUUCUCCUUAUAGUCUUAAGUUCUAUCUAUACCAAUUCCCUUCCUUUUGUUUUAAAUCUCAACAAGAAGGUUUAUUUGCCAAAACAACCCCAAAAUUUGCACAACUUGGCCUUUUAACUCAUUUUCUAGUUAUAUUAGGAUUUUGGUUAUUUUUUCAAACCUAAUUAGAAUUUAUUUCUCCCUCAUUUUUAAAUACAUUUUUUAUUACUUCUCUUUUUCAUAAAAAUGUUCAUCAUCUUUUGUUGAAAAUGUUAAAUUCAAAUCUCGUACCCAACAUCAACCUCGUUCAAUCUAUUCUUCAUAAUGUUUUAGUGUAAUGUCGUCAAAAUCUGUUUCUAAUGUGCCAAGAUCGGUAAGAAUUCCUUUUUUAAUUUUGUAGAACUCUAAAAAUCUAGUAUAAUACAUCUUGAUAAAUUUUCUAAAAUUAAUUCUAAAUAUUUAAUGGGUUUUCUUGAAAUCUAGUUAAAACUCGAUAAAUCUUAAACAUCAAUAGUAAUUAUUACAUUUUCAUCGAUUAAAAGACCUAUUGUAAGUAUCCCAGAUCAAUUUUGGACAUAAGGAUCAUCAUACGAGACCCCAUAAGUUAUAUGUGUGUUCUUUUGCUAGAAAAUUGAGACAAAAUCGAACCCAACCCAGACCACACGACCAUGUGACCCACAUGGCCUAGACCCUCCCACACGAUUGUGUGUCCCCUGUAACACAGCUUUACAAUUUUAACCUAAAAAUUUUAGAUACUACACAAAUUAGUCCCUAAUUGGUUCCCAAAUUCUAGUGUUUGGAUGAAUCUAUGUAAAAUAUUUUUGUUGUUUGACAGAUUUCCUGAAAAUAUUUUCCAGAAAAAUUGUUUUUACAUAUAUUAAUAUAUUUAUAUAUAUAUUAAAUUGUUUUUACAUAUAUUGUAAUGAUUUAUUUAUAAAUAAAUAAAUCUAAUUAAAUAUAUAAUAAUACUUAAUUAUUAAGUUAGAAUAUUAACCAUCAUAAAUUGAAAACAACCAAAGUCAAAUAAAUUAUUUGUAAUUGUACUAAAAUAUUUAGACAAAUAAUUUUGGCAAGAGUGAAAAAUAUCUGAAAAUAUAUAUAAAAUUACACAAAUUAAACUAAGUUUAACAAUCAAAACUCCGAUGUUUUGAGUUUAAAAUUCAUUAUUUUAGAUUUAAAUUACUUUAUUAAAAAGAUUUAUCAUGUUGCAAUUGAAACCCAUCUACCUCUGGCUGCAAUUUUUUAAGGAUUAAAGACUUAACUAUUUGAUUAGUAGGGUGGUUAGGAAUUUGAUAUAUGACAGAUAGAAUAGAAGACAAUGACACAUUCAGUAAUCUUAAAGCAUGGUGUUGAUGAAUACAAAGGAGUUUUAAUGAAUAUGAAAUGCGUGUAGCCUACGACUAUGGAACAAUUUCAUCAUUUACUGUGUUCAAAUCAAAAUGCAAGGGAUCAUUAUUUCCAAUUUCAACUCAAUAAACCUGAUUUUUCAUUCCUAAAACCAGCUUUGAACCUAAACUUUACCAUCCCUUGCCUAUGAGCCAUAACCAGUCAAGUGUGACCCUUGCAAAGAUACCUCCUAGGAGAAACAAAACAAGCAAAUUCCCUAGGAGAAACAAUUGUCGAGUUAAUAAUGGAGGGGUGAUUUGAGGGCUUUGGAAUGUUUGGAUGAAAUUGGUGGAUUUUUAAGGGGUAAUUAAGAAAUGGCCCUAAUUUGUCAUUUUGGUACAACCGCAAGGGACCCUUUGCAGUUGUAGCCGCAGUUUUUCUUUCACCACAUGCAAGAAUUUGCUGAAUGUUAUAUUUUUAAUAAACUGUACGAACUAGAUAAAUGAAUCAUUGAAUCGUAAAUUGACAGCAAACUUUAUUCAAAAACAUUGAAAUUCAAUUUUAUUGUUCAAGAUUUUGAUGUUUGUAUAUAAUACUGUCAAUGUACACUUCUUAAUUUGAACAUCUAUAGAACUGUCAGGAUCUGCCUGCUGAACUUUUUGUGUAUGAAGAAAGGGUUGGAACUUGGAAGUUGCGAGUCGCUACAAAGACGGAAGGAGCCAAAGAUUGAAGAGAGUUGAAGCAAAGGAUAGAAACCACGACAUGAAAGCCAUAGCUGCAAACAACUGAUAUCUACUGCAUAUCUUUGACGAGUAAUAUGUCGAGCUGACAUUGACCAAGAGACUUCUCACACUAGCAGUUGAGCAAGCCAUGGCUAGUGAGAGAAAUGACAAGGCCUGCAAUCAGGUAAAACACAUGUUUUUACAUCAUAUUAUGAUAAGGGAUAACACCAUGGUGAUGAUAUGCAUAAUAAGCCUUGUAACAUACCCAGUCUCCAACAAUGACAACCAACAGUACCCUUGGUUGUUGUGGUAAGCCUUUAACGAACACGAAAUAUGUAUCAACCAAUGCUAAUGACACACUCCAUGGAGUCACUAAACCCAUGACUGUCACCAAGUAGCUACGAAAAAAUUUAAAGGAAAAUUGGAGAUUGAUUUAUCACCCAACAAUUGGUGAGCAACAAUGAAAACACGAACAUUAUCUUCUAUAUCAUUAUAUCUAAUGAGCAAUUGAAAAUUAUAGUUUGUACCUGAUACAGAAGCUUUAGUAGUCCGAGGUCGUUCAUACACUCGGAAGAAAACUCAAAAGGGGGGAUCAAAGUCAAAGUCCAGACUCGGGAAAGAUGAAUGUGCUUUUUGUCAUGAGAAAGGCCACUGGAAGAAAAAUUGUCCAAAGCUGAAGAAUAAGGGAAAAGCUGCUGUAGAUGCUUGUGUUGCAAAGCAUGAUACUAGUGACUCUGAACUAUCACUGGUUGCAUCAUCAUCGUCGUUCCAUUCAGAUGAGUGGAUAUUGGAUUCGGGUUGUACCUAUCAUAUGUCCCCUAACCGGGAGUGGUUCUCUGAUUUAGUAGAACUAAAUGGAGGAGUUGUUUAUAUGGGCAAUGACAAUGCCUGUAAAACUGUUGGGAUAGGUUCAAUCCAAUUAAAGAAUCAAGAUGGAUCAACCAGAGUUCUGACUGAUGUUCGGUACGUGCCCAGUUUGAAGAAAAAUCUCAUCUCAUUGGGAGCCUUGGAAUCCAAUGGUUCAGUUGUUACUAUGAGAGAUGGGAUUUUGAAAGUGACAUCUGGCGCACUUGUGAUAUUGAAGGGCAUCAGGAAAAAUAACUUGUAUUACUACCAAGGUAGUACAGUUAUUGGAGCAGUCGCUGCAGCUUCCGGUAACAAAGACUUGGACUCAAUGCAGUUGUGCCAUAUGAAGUUGGGACAUGCCAGCGAAAAAUCCUUGCAAAUUCUGGCAAAGCAAGGAUUGUUGAAAGGUGCAAAGGCUUGCAAAUUAAAAUUUUGUGAGCACUGUGUUCUGGGAAAGCAAAAGAGAGUGAAAUUCGGCACUGCUAUCCAUAAUACAAAAGGUAUUUUGGAAUAUAUUCACUCAGAUGUGUGGGGGCCUUCCAAAACACCUUCGUUGGGAGGAAAACACUACUUUGUUACUUUUGUUGAUGACUUUUCCAGAAGAGUUUAGGUGUAUACCAUGAAAACUAAAGAUGAAGUGCUUGGAGUUUUUCUUAAAUGGAAAACUAUGAUCGAAAACCAGACUGGCAAGAAAAUCAAGCGGCUUAGGACGGACAAUGGAGGGGAAUAUAAAAGUGAUCCGUUCUUCGAUGUGUGCCAAGAGUAUGGUAUUGUUCGACACUUCACAGUUAGGGAUACACCACAACAGAAUGGAGUGGCAGAGCGUAUGAAUCGAACAUUGCUGGAGAAAGUUCGAUGUAUGUUGUCCAAUGCUGGGUUGGGCAAGCAAUUUUGGGCUGAGGCUGUGACAUACGCUGGCCAUCUUGUUAAUCGUUUGCCAUCGUCUGCAUUAGAAAGAAAAACUCCUAUGGAGGUAUGGUCUGGAAAACCGGCUACAGAUUAUGAUUCCUUACAUGUGUUUGGAUCCACUGCAUAUUACCAUGUGAAGGAGUCAAAGUUAGAUCCGAGGGCAAAGAAAGCUCUCUUUAUGGGAAUCACUUCUAGAGUGAAGGGAUUUCGUCUUUGGUGCUUAAGCACAAAGAAAAUGAUCUGUAGCAGAGAUGUUACCUUUGAUGAAUCUGCCACAUUGAAAAAGGUAGCAGAUAAAGAUAUUCAGACGAGCAAUACUCCACAGCAGGUGGAGUGUACUCCAAAACAGGUGGAGUUUGAGCAGAUGGGGAUUUGCCCAGUUAAUAAGUCUAAUUCUCCAGCCACAAUGGAGGAAUUAGAGGUUGAAGAGGUUCUGACCCAAGAACCACUAAGUACACCAGAACCAGUUGCAGUUGCAAGGCCACGGAGAGAAAUUCGUAAACCUGCUCGAUUUACUGAUAUGGUGGCCUACGCCCUUCCCGUUGUUGAUGAUAUUCCUAUCACUUAUCAAGAAGCAAUGCAAAGCUUAGAAAGUGAUAAAUGGAAAAGCGCCAUGGAUGAAGAAAUGCAGUCUCUCCGGAAGAACAAUACUUGGGAGUUGGCGCAAUUACCGAAAGGUAAAAGGGCAAUCGGAUGCAAGUGGGUAUUCGCAAAGAAAGAUGGAUCUCCUAGCAAGAAGGAUAUUCGCUACAAGGCAAGAUUGGUAGCUAAAGGCUACGCUCAGAAGGAGGGAAUUGACUACAAUGAUGUAUUUUCCCCUGUUGUGAAGCAUUCCUCCAUUAGAAUUUUGUUGGCCUUGGUAGCACAGUUGAAUUUGGAGCUAGCUCAACUUGAUGUUAAGACGGCUUUCUUGCAUGGUGAGUUAGAAGAGGAGAUCUAUAUGACUCAGCCCGAAGGAUACACAGAUGCUGGUGGUAGAAAUUGGGUUUGUAAGCUGAACAAAUCGCUAUAUGGAUUGAAGCAAUCCCCGAGGCAGUGGUACAAGCGAUUUGAUAGCUUUAUGAGAAGGCAGAAGUACACAAGAAGCAAAUAUGACAAUUGUGUAUAUUUGCAGAAGCUGCAUGACGGAUCUUUCAUUUAUCUACUCUUGUAUGUUGAUGAUAUGUUAAUCGCUUCGAAGAGCCAAAAUGAGAUAGAUAAGCUGAAGGCUCAGUUGAAUCAAGAGUUCGAGAUGAAAGAUCUAGGUGAGGCCAAGAAGAUUCUCGGCAUGGAGAUAAGUAGAGAUAGACAGAGAGGCAAGCUUUGUUUGAAUCAGAAGCAAUAUCUGAAAAAGGUAUUACAAUGUUUUGGUGUAAAUGAAAACACAAAACAUGUAAGUACCCCACUUGCUUCUCAUUUGAAACUUAGUGCUCAAUUAUCUCCGAAAACUGAAGAAGAAAGAGAAUAUAUGGCAAAAGUCCCAUAUGCUAAUGCAGUUGGGAGUUUGAUGUAUGCGAUGGUGUGUACGAGGCCUGACAUUUCACAAGCUGUUGGAGUUGUGAGCAGGUAUAUGCAUGAUCCUGGAAAAGGACAUUGGCAAGCUGUGAAAUGGAUUCUACGGUAUCUUCGAAAAACCGUAGAUGUUGGUUUAAUUUUUGAACAGGAUGAAGCACUUGGUCAGUUUGUAGUUGGAUAUGUUGAUUCCGACUUUGCUGGUGAUUUAGAUAAACGUCGUUCAACUACGGGGUAUCUGUUUACUCUUGCGAAAGCCCCAGUGAGUUGGAAGUCUACCUUACAGUCUACAGUAGCUGUGUCUACUACAGAGGCAGAAUAUAUGGCAGUUACAGAAGCUGUUAAGGAGGCUAUUUGGCUUAAUGGAUUAUUGAAAGACUUGGGAGUUGUUCAAAGUCACAUUAGUCUAUAUUGUGACAGUCAGAGUGCUAUUCAUUUAGCGAAAAAUCAAGUCUAUCAUUCAAGAACCAAGCAUAUCGACGUAAGAUAUCACUUUGUGCGGGAAGUCUUUGAAAAAGGAAAAAUUCUACUUCAGAAGAUUCCGACAGCAAAUAAUCCCGCAGAUAUGAUGACCAAGGUGGUAACAACAAUCAAGUUUAAUCAUUGUUUGAACUUGAUUAACAUCCUGAGAAUUUGAGCACCUUUAGGUGUAUGGCGCUCGAGAGCGCAUUUGGAGGCACUACAAAAGAUAGCUUUAUCGAAUUUGGGGAGUUGAAGGAAGUAUGUGAAGAUGUGAUUAUCCUAAUCAAAUCUUCAAGGUGGAGAUUGUUGAAAAGUCAACAAAGGUAGGAAGCAACUUGUUAAAAAGGUUGAGCAAGUUGCACCGAAUGUUGAAAAGUUGAAUGGGAUAAUUGCAAUUUUGGUCCCUAAUUUUUUAGGCCAUUUGCAAGUUAGUCCCUGAACCUCAACUAUAAAUAGGCCUUUUCAUUUUUCAUUUCAACGAUCCCAACCAAUCUUUCUCUCUUAGUUUUCUCUCUUCUCCCAUUUGAGAAUUCUUAAGGAAUUCUAUUUAUUUGUAAUACUUUGAAGAUAGUAAAGUUAUCAUCUGGUGUUAGUGCCCGAGGACGUAGGUAUAAUUUACCGAACCUCGUUAAAACUCUUGUGUUCUUUCUUGUCCUAUUUUUCUUUCAAUAUUUGAGGGUAUAAUAGUAGUAUUUAAUUGUGCUAUUAAAUUACUAUAGAAGGGAUAUUCUGUCUAAGGAAAGACUUGGUAUUUAAGAGAUCCAUGUGAUCCACCUCUCUUUCCUGGGAAUUGAACUUUGUGUGAUUUUUUAGUACAAUAAUUUACACGCUUCCGACCCUAUUGGAACAACACACAUAGCAUCUCCAUCGAAGAAAAUUGGAGAUAAGAAGUUUCAAAUAACAAUUUUUCUGAAGUACAGAAUAAAGUGGUUAUAUUCAUUGUCUUAAGAUUGAUCCAGAUGGUUUGUGCUAAUCUAUAGAAGUUAGAUAGCAGAUACAGACAGUGCCUCAUUAUCUAGUUUCAUCUUUCCAGAAACAUGCAAAACAGGAGGACCCAAGUCAAGGAAUAAAGUUUAAAUGCAAAAGCCAUACAAGACCACUAUCCACUUUUACAAUUUCACCUUGUUAACUAUCUUGAUUCCCUUGACAUCAAGCUUAAUCACCCUUGAUAUUAGCACUUGAUGAGCUACUUGACUCCGGCCAUUUUGUUAAUUGCUUAAAUUAAGGCCUUUUUCUUGGACAAAUGCUCCCAACAUUGUGCAUUUUAUACACAAAAACAGACACAUUUUUUCCAUUUCCAUUCACCUAGUGAAAACUUUUAACAGAGGAAGAAGAAUAACAAAUAAUUUUAAUCUGAACAGAGUUGAAAAUAAGAAGUCUGGAAAUCCAGCCUUGGAUAACAAAUAAUAUCAGCAAAUAAGUUAUAUUCUAUGGUCUAGUUCAACAACUAGCCAAGUAACAGGUCAUGUACAUUGAGAAUAGUUUUGAUAACUCUAAUUGUUGAAAGUCCAAAUUCAGUCAUCCAUAAAAAAAAAGCAAUUGAUCUUUGCAUAUCCCUGAAUCAAAAUAGACUCUCAGAUAACUUUACCCUUUCAAUCAUUAAAUGGCACCUUUCCCUGCAGUCAUCCAUAAGCAAGAAGCAAGAUUUCCUAAAAAUCGCUUUUUUUUAAACCUUAAAUCCUUUUGUUUUCAUAAAAAAAAUUCACCUAAUUCAUUUUCUGCCCAAGCCCAAAGGCCCAUCCCUUCAAACAAUUUCCAUGAAGAUACCAGUAGGAACCAGAAUUACUUUUGCUCUCUCCAACAUGGUAAAGCUGCUAUUUUACAUGGCAAAAAGACACACAAAGCAUCCAAUUCCUUAAAAACCAAUCGCUAAAAUGAUCACGAUUGUGAUAGUUUUUCCCUGGAGGUUCCCAAAGUAACAUCAGAACCAGCUUUUAAAAGUUGACAACGAAUUGAAUUCCGAGCAAAUAUCAGAAACAAAGAGGCAUGAGUAUUGAAGAUUAAAAGCCAAAGAGAGGAAGAAAGAUAAAAUAUGACCAAAUAAAUGGAAGAAUCUUAAAACGUUGACAGUUACCUGAAAGAAGUAUAGCUAUAGAAUUCAACAUCCAAACACAUAAAGAGAAGUGAAGCAGCGGAGAAAACAGUUUGUCCCAAACGAAGAGCCAAGCUGGCGCUUGUUCCCAACGCCCCUGGCACUGGUUCCAUCGUCCCUCAUGUCAACUUAUCUCUCUGUUUCUUCAUCUUUAGUGUAUUCCCCUAAAACCCAAUAAAAAAGCAGAGGCCAAACGCUAGGAGAAGGGAUUGAAACAAUAGAAUUCAUGGUAGAUUUGCCUGAGAAAGAGAGGAAACGAAACAGAAUAUGCUGAGAAGAGAAGAUAUACGACGGACUUUUACCUGGAAGAGAAGAUGAAGAACGGAAGAAGGAAAAUGAAUGAAGAACGGAAAAAGGAGAAGGAGCCUUACCUGGAUGAAGGAGGAACCGGAAAAUGGCUUACAGAAAUGAAAUCCAUAAAACAUUUUCCCCUAAAAUCCAUUUAUUUUACUCGUGUCUUGGAAAAUCAGGAAAACAUUUUCCUGCAAACAAACAGACCCUCAAUUUAAACACUGGCAAUGAUGAAUUUUGAAAUUAACUCUUUAAAUAGAAAUGACUUCAUUUAUUGCUCUAUUCAUUUUCUGUUGGGGAUCAACUCAAUUAAAGGCUUAUUUAGUAUUACUUAAGAAAAGUAUUUUUGAUUCUAAAAGUAUUUUUGAAAAAAAACUGUGCUAAACAAGUUAUUUUUGGUUGAAAUUUGUGUUGCAUAGUCAUCGACAAUCCUUUGCUGCAUCGUUUUUCAUUCUGUUUCUCUUCGCUUCGCUUUCUCCAGUAAAACCACCUGCCAUUUAGUUUCUCAUCAUUCCUCUCUUUCUUCUUCUUCCUUCUUUUUUUUUUUUUGCAUACAUAAAUUUAUCCCUGCGCCAGACUGCUCUAUUAUGCUGCAACUGCUUUGACGUCUUUGCCUUGUACAAUAUAGUUUAAGUUUGAUCUUGUUUCUAUUUUUAUCUCUUCCUUUUCAUGUUCUUUGUACUUGUAAUAACCAUUUACCGUAGAUUCAAAAAAAAAAAACUUUGCUUAUUUUCUUUUAUAUAUGUGGGCUAGAAGACUUCAUUAAUUGAAGGAAGAGGGAGACUCCAUUUGAGAUUGAGGUGAGUUUUCUUGGCUUUUUUCGAAGAGUUCUGUCUUAGAAACUAAUGGAGCUGCAGUUGGCUUUAAAGGGUUUGGAAUUUGCCCAGAAGAAGAAGAAAUGGGUUGCUUUAAUGGCGGCUUUUGGUUUAAGCAGUUAUGGUUUCUAUAGAUUUUAUCACUUUCCUAUUAUUGCUCAAAAGCGAAACAGAGGGUGAGGAUGGGCGGUGCGUUUACCUGCGGUUAGUGUAAAAACAGCGGUGGCGGUGAGAUUAAAUAUUGUAGCGUGAGACAAAAAGUAAGCUAAACGCACCGCACCGCACCCAAUCGCCCAUCCAAACCCACCCAGAGUUUUAAAGCUUUUACGAGCUUUGGUUUCCAUUACUGAAGCCGUCUCUGAUUGUCCUAAAGCAAUAAGAGUUGUUUCUAGUGAUUUGAAUGGUUUUUUCCAAUCAGAAUUAGACCAAAUUCCUAAUAGUCUGCCCUAUUGACGAGUCAUUACUACAUUUUUUUAUUUAUUAAUAUUACAUAAUCUCAUUACAAUUUAUAACCUUCAUUUAAGAAUGAAUAAAAGAAAUCAAGGAAUACAAAUUAACGAUUACAUAAUCACAUUACAAUGGCAUUGUAUUCAAAGUGUUUCUCAAAAUAACCAUCUCAACUUUUAAUAUAAUAUCAAAUUUAGUUAUUAAUAUUUAUACUCUCUUAUCAAUUUCACCUUUCUUUUUUAAAAACUAAAUUUAGCUAUUAAUUUUUUUUAAAAAAAGACUUAAAUUAUUUUUAAGCUCCAUAUAUAUUUCAUGUUAAUAUGACAAUAUUUGUCUUAUAUAUCACGUCAAUAAAUAAUUUAAAAUUUUAAAAAAUAACAUAAAAUACACGUAGAUAAAUACAAUAAUUUAUCUUAUCAUUUAUUUAUUAUAUAUUUUUUUAUUGAAACAGUGAAUUGGAUUCCUACAAAAGAAGUAUUUGAUAGGCUCAUUUGAAUUGUUACUCAAACAACUCCAUUUUAAGCUCUCCUUAAUUGCACUUGUAAGUACCUCGUCUUACUUACAUGUUUUAAUUUAAUACAACAUUUUUUUGAGAUAAAAUCCAUGUUAGUGAUUUGAAUUAAGGCAUAAUAUCUGACAUAUCUCAUUGUGAUAUUACUAUUUUAGGUUAAACGUAUUCAUUUAAUUAUGUAAGUAACACGUUUCUUAUUUUUUUAAGAUAUAAAUAAACAAACAUAAAUAGUAAUAAACAUAUUAUAAAUAAAUAAAAGAAACACACAAACAAUAAUAGUACUAAUUAUAUAAUUAAACAAUAGUUGAUUUUAAAUAAUUUACUAAACCAGUUUUAAACUAGCAUGAAGAUAACCAGUUUGGAUAUGUUUUAUUUAUAUUAGGUUAAUUUAAUAAAUAAAUUUUAAAUUUUUAUUAAUGUUGAUUUAUUUAACUUAACGAACGAAUAUAAAUAAACAAAGAUCCAACUCAUAAACUAUUUAGUUACAGCUUUAAACUUAACUUAUAUAUAUUUAGAAUGCUUAAGUAACAGUAAUUUAUUGUCAACUUUAGACUUCAAGAACUACGAAAUGGAUAAGAGUUGGAUGAAUUUGUCAACGGUAAGCAACGAAUAUUAAAAUAGAGUACUAACUUUUGUAAAUUAGUUUGCAUUUAAAUUCUUAUAUUUAAAUAAUUUAUUUGAAGUGAUUGAUCUACAAGUUAACUCAUGCAUUAACUUAUAUUUAUACUUUAUAUGAGAAUAUUUUAAUUUUUUAUAAUUAAUAAAUUUUAAUUUACAAUUAAUUUUUACAUUAACUAACUAAACUUUUAUAAAGAAAAUUAGAAACCCAUCGGUUAAAAACUAGUUAUUUUUCCUUUUAAAAAAUCUAGUUAUUUUUUUUUUAAAAAAAGUAAUGUUUUAUUAUUUUAUAUAUUUAAUAUAAAAUUAUAUAAAUAUUUUAUUUUAUUUUCCAUGAUUCUCUACGUCCGUUUUAUGUUCAUGUUCGGGUUUAUUAAACUAAUAUUAAAAUUAUGCAUUUUAAUAUUUAUAUUAAUAUAUUAAUUUAAAAUAAAAACAUAUAUUUUAAUUUUUUUAUUUAUAUACAUUAAUAUAUAAAUAUUUUAUAUUUUAUUUUAAACUAUAUAAAAAAAAGAUGUUAAGGGUAAGAUUAGACCUGUCCAUGGGCCGGACGGCCCGCCCAAAAUAUGGGAGGGUUCGGGUAAAAAUAGGCCCGAAAAAUGGGUUUGGGUAAAAAAUUAGGCCCAUUUAGAAAAUGGGCCGGGCCUCGGGCACAACUUUUUUGGCCCGGGCCCGGCCCGAAUAUAAUAAAUAUUUUUUUAUUUUUUAAUUUUAAAUUAUUUUUAAAAUACUUUUAUUUUUAUUUUUUAUUUUUAAAAUACUUUUUUGGUGUUUAUUAAAAAAUGGGCCGGGUCGGGCCUGGACAAAAUUUUAGGCCCAUAUUUCGGGCCGGGCCGAAAUUUUUUUCUGGGCCCAGCCCAUGGACAGGUCUAGGUAAGAUGAUAAAUUAAUAAAUAACACUUAUGUUUUAACUCAUAGAAAAUACAUGGUAAGAAGAUUAACUGUUAGGGACAAGUGUAAGCCGUGUUACCUUAUCCCCUGCCCCUAAUAUUGUAUCGAAAAACGCUUGGUAAGAAGAGUGAUAUAUAUCCAAUUUUCAACAACCAAACAAUUUGAUGUAGUAGCAUCUAUCUUUUAUCCAUCAUUUGAAAGUUGAGUGUUAUUUAACACAACACUCCUCUUUUACAUCAAGCCUACCAAAUGUGACCAGACUAUCAAUUUGGCUAUGAUUCUAUAUAAAACGAUAAAAAAAUUGAGUUUUUUAAAAUUAGAAAUCUUGAAAAUACAUAAAUUUGAAAAUUAAAUAAAAAUAGAUAAAAUUUAAAAAAUAUAUAGAUAAGUGAGAGAAAAUUAGGGAAAAUUAUUUUUCAUUAUGAGAAAAGAAUGAGAAAAAAAGAUUAGAUUUGGUUUUUUUUUUUAGUUUGGAUUUUGAAUAAUGUUGAAAAUUUUGAAGUUGUCGCAGGGUGUUAUGGGAAUUGCCCACUACCCCAACCAUUAUGACAAAACAACUUGCCAUAUUUGGAAGAUUGGCAAUUUAUUGAUCUGUAUCUUUAGAUUGAGCUGAUAUUGUAGAGCGAAUCAAGCUCAUCAAUAAAGAUCAUAUCACUUGGAGAAACUUAUUUAGAAGAUUAGAUCGGGUUGGAUUGGAUUGCUUAUAUCAAAUUCUAUGGAUAAAGGAAGUUGAAUCGGAUCGAAAAAGUAAAGAUUUAGCCGCCAACCAUCAAUGUUUAUUGUGGUUGUUUAUAUUAUAUUGUAUUUAGCUAUUUUAGUUGUUGUUUAGUAAGGAUUGUGAUAGAUCUUCAUUAUGUUAGCAAGUCUCGAAAUCUCUAUAUAAUUAAGAGACUUGUAUAGGUUGAUGCACAAAUUAUUAAGAGCAUUUAUAUGUUCAAGUGAGGAACAUUAUUUUGCAAGAGUGCAUUUGUGAUUGUAAAAUUUUGUAUUGUGUUGUGCAUUUGUGAGGAACAUUAUUUGUGAUUGUAUUAUUUAGUGGUGAGUGAUCUAGUCUUCGAAGGUAUAAGAGUGAGGAAUCAUCAUUGAGAUGUGAUACAUUUAGGUUCACUAGUUGUAAUUGUUUAAAUGUAGUGAUUCUUCUCAUUGACCAAGGCUUCACAAAUGUAUGGAAACUGAACUGCAUAAACAAAUUUUAAUGUUUCCUAUUUUGUUUUUGCUUAUCAUGGUGCUUGUAGAAGUGCACACUUUUGCAGUCACUACUGCUCAUACAUUGCUUGUUACUUAGCAACUAUUUUAGAUCAACAAAAAAUCAUUUAAAUGAAUUAAAUUUUAUUAAUAGAGUUUGAAAAAGAAUAUUUUCUUGUAUAUUUUGCAUUUUUUUUUACUAAAAGAAAGGGAUCAAAUUCAAUUUCACAAGUCUUAGUGAGAUUAGUUUGAAAGAAGUUCUUCAAUAGCAUGGAACUUGACUGGAAGGUGUUACUAAAUUUGUCAUAUUUUGUUUUAAAUUUGUUAUUGGAUUCUAUUGAAUAAUCUUUUUCUUUCUUAUGUCUCAGUAUUGAACAAUCUUGAGCUUUAUUACAACACAAGAACAUUAGUUUCUAAUCACAAUUAAGCUUUGUGCAAAAUGAAUAUUAUAUUAAGAUAUUGAAAUUGAUCUAUUUCUUUUAUCCAUUUUCAUGAUUUAUGGCAAUGUUGAAUAUUUUGCUGUAGAAAUCAUAAUUUUUAUAUAGAAUUUUCUAUUUUUUAAAAAUAAUAUUGAGUUUUUAAAAUUAAUUUUAUAUAGAAUAGGGUUAAAUGGAGAGAAAGUAUAAAAGUUAAGGGUUAAAAUUGUCAUUAUACUAACUAAAAAAGUGUGGUUGUUAGCUAUUUAAUAGUUGGGUAAAAAAAUAAUUUCAAAAACGUUAGUGGCCAAAUUGUAACUCUUUUAAUUAAAAGACACAUAAUUGAGGGAUUAAUAGUGUAAUUUAACCUUAUCUUUUUUAAACAUAUGGAUUAAUUCACAUUUAUUUGGAAUGUGUUAUUAAUUCACAUAUGAAUUUAAGUAGUGGUGGAGCUAGAAAAUAUUUUGGGGCUAAAAUUAAAUUGUAUAUUUUUAUGAUAGCAAGAAUGCAAUUUCACUAUUUUAUGAUAUCUUUAUAAUUUUUAAAGGAUUAAAUCAAUUUUUUUUAUCAUUUUUGAGAUUAAAGUGUAAUUUUACUAUUAUUAAUUUAAAAUUUUAUAAAUUAUAAAGGACAUAAGUGAAAAAUUUUCCAUUAAUCAACACCCUUGGCUCUACCACUUGAUCGAACACAUAUCACGAGUCCUUUCCCGCGUGUGUCAGAUUUUGUUUAUAUGGUUGAAAUAUCAUCACAUGUAUUUAUGUUUGAAUACACAUCACAAAACCUUGAGUUGCUUCGGCAUGACCUAGAUAAAAAAAAAUGGAGAAACAUGAAGGUAGCUUAGAAGAAUCCAAAAGCAAUAAACGAAAGCUAGACAAAAGGUUGAAAUCAUCAUUAACCAAGCCUUUACUUUUUCUAACUCCAGGAAGAGUCCAUAUUCGUUGAGAAAAUCGGCAAAGACUUUGGUAUCUUUUGGAAGGACUUGUAAAGAAACAAUUUUUUAUAUUUACGUUCUGUAAUGUUUUUCAUAUUAACAUUAUUGAUGUUUCUAAAUUUACCUUCUGUAAUGUUAGAGUUAGUUGAAGAGUCGUCAGAUUCUGGAGAGGAAUCAAUUUUUAGUCAUCAGCAUAGGAUGGAAGAUGAGAAGUUGCUGUCGGCAGUGUUGGGAGAGCAAAGGAGAAGGUAAGAAGACUGCAACUCAAGAGGAUGAAGGCAAAUCAGAAAUGGGUAGAUGACAGAAUUGUGAAUAGGACUCUCAGAUUCUGGGAAGCGUGUAGAGAUCGACGAAUCAGUUUGCGGUGAUUGCUGCGGUCCUCUCCAACAAGGAGCCAAUUGUUUUGCAGACACAAAGGCUGUGGAUGGGAUGGAAAGUUUAUGGUUAAACUAUUCCCCUUAAAUUCACGUCAGUAUAAAAUAAAAUGUAAAUUAAUUUAAAAUUUUAAAAUAAUUUUAUUUUAAUUUUUAAGUCUAAGAAUUUU
rnacentral:lncRNA from 1 species